CUUCCAGCCGUGACGAGGCUUGACUGGUAGCUUAGGUGCCGAAGUGCCGCAUCCAAGGCAUGAGAUGAGAGAGUGGUGAAGAAAUUCAUUAUAAUUUGAAUUUGUAAAGUGGAAAACAAGCGUCUCAGAAUAAAUUUAAACAAAAAAGACAAAGUAAAAUGUGGAUAACAUUCGAAUUCAUUUGUCGCUGCCACGCGCAGAAUAAUGUUCACAUCAGAUAGUUCAAUUUCUAAGAACAUAAACCGAUGGAUACAUCUUACAUCAUGUGUGCAUGCUUGGCCAUAACGCUGCUCUUUCACUUGGAGUUACUAGUCUGGAAGAGGAAGGUGAUUUGAAGAUUCUAAUUGAUGCAAUUAACGGGACGUGUUCUAUUCCUUGGCAUCUCACUGCCUUGGUGUUCAAUAUUUAGAGGACCGCUUGUAACUUCCAGCUGAAUAUAUACUUUCGUCAUAUCUAUCUGGAAGCUAAUUCAUUUAGUUGUCGAUGUGUUAGCUAGAAUUGGGCAUCUAUCUCAUGAGUGUUAGUCUUGGACCUUGGUGGUACACUCUCCCGUGCUGCUUGGUUUUGGGACUUAUGUUGUAAUUCUUGCCCAAGGGGCUUCUCUUUGUAACUGUUCUUUCCUAUAUAUAUAAAAAAGCAUAUCUCCUUAGAUGUUUUCUUUUUCUGAAAAACAAUGUAAUGAUCAUGGGACAAAUAAACAGGACGAAACAAUUCCAAUAACAAACAUAGGAUCCUCCACCAUAAGACGACCAUGUUGAAUAUAAUCAUCAUAUAAAAUAUGGCAAGGACAAGGACAAGAACAAGGAGAAGGGCGGAUAUGAUCAUCCAAACAAUAUAGUAUGGAUGAAGCAGACUAACAAACAAGUAAGAACAACAAAAGGAGAGGAAGGGUACCUCUGUCUUUAACAAAGGGUUCAAGGAAAGGGAAACAAUUGAGACCCAACCAAUUCGUCAAGGUGAUAGGGCGACUUCAUAAAAAUUCAUAAUAACCAAGGUGACAAUGGUAUAAUUGGUAUAUGUGCAGCAUUCAGAUGGCCAUGGUCUCCCUACUGAUACGAUCCUCAUAACCCUGGCCAAAGAAAAUAAUUAGAAAACAUGACUCAGGAGAGAAAUAACAAGACCAUCACGAGUUAGGAAAUUCUCUUCUAAAACAGCUUCCACCAACGAAAAACGUUAUUGCAGAUGUUUAACUGAACAUAGCAAUGAAAAAAUAUCAUAGGUCAGAAGUUAAUAGUUUACACCCAUUUUUCAAACAUGGUGGUUGUUUGUUUUGAACCUACACUAGGUUCACCUUAUAUCAGCAGUUUUCCAGUCACACCAGCAAACAUUAGAUAUUUAUAGUUUACGCCCAUUUAUAAUAUGAUAGUUAAUUAGAGAAAUUGUAUAGUUGAAUAAAUGUGCGUAUGCAUGCAAUAUUCAGCGUUAACUUAACAACCACGUAUGCGAGCUUACGUAGUUAUCGUUACCUGCUCUUAUCUUGUAAUCAUGAUAUAACUAAUUAGUCACAUAGUGAGACUUCAAAUUAUAGCAACUCAAAAAACAAUUCAAAUCCAAAUCCUUCAAUCCCAAUAGAAGAAUAACAAGAGAGGAAUGGUACGUACGGUACUGUGCAUGGGUGAUUAAAUGUUAAGAUAAUUUGGAUUAAUUGUCACGGGUGGCAACCACGUGACUUUGCUACUCUUGAAAAGACUUUUUGGGUCUACUUUGCAAUGGGAAAAAGCACCCAACAACUAGAACUAAAACUAAUGGGCCGGUUUGAAAUGCUCCUUUACAAAACACUUCAACUUUAAAAAAAAAAAAAUUUGCUUAAUACUUAAAAGUGCUUUUAAUAUCCACUCAAUAUUACGGUGGUAUUCUUUUUCACUUAAAAGUGAUAGGUUUAAGUUCGAAUCCCGUGGAUGGCAAAUUCAAUAUCAAAUUAGGUUGCUCAUUAUGUAGAUUAACCGAACUCUCAUUUCCUUUAAUGUAAAAAUAUAUCGAUGUACUAAAAAAAAUGCUUUCAAUACAUAAAACCACAAAUGCUUCUUAAAAAUCCAUCUAAUGCUAUCUUUAGAAACUGCACAUUAGUUUUUUUUUUUUCAAAAAACACUUCAAAUGUAUUUUUCAACUAUAAACACUUUUAACAUUUUUCAAUCUGUAUUCGAAUCAUUGUAAUUCUAUUCAUUUACCACGAGUUCCACUUACAAAUCUGCUAUCCGAUAGUAGUUGAUCUCGUUCAUAUUCCUUACUUUCUUUUCCUAGUUCACGACUUUCUCUGUUCUAAAUAAGUAAACACAUUGAAACUGAAUACUUAAAAAAAAUAAAAAUAAAGACAUGUUGGUUUAUUUGAACUUGAAAUGGCCUAAACACCCAUACAUACCGAGCGUUGCAAAAUGACAAAACAACCCUUCGUUAAUGGUGGAGGGCCCACUCUUGUCCUUUGUAGGUAAAAGGCUAAAUUAUAAUUGUAACGCAAAACCGCAGCAGUGACGAACCGUUUCUCAAUUUCGUCGUUCUUCCGAGAAAUUUUUUGGUGUGACUGUCAUACGAAAUAAUACAUUACGUGUCCUUAUAUAAAUGAUGAAUUAUGUGUUUUAAAAGGUUAAUAACUUAAAAAUUAAAAUUUUUCAUCACUUACGUAAAAACACGUGAUAUACCAUCCGUGUUCAUGUUACAACUAAAAAUUUCUCCUCCUCCCCUCUCUCUCUUAAAUGGCUAUUCCCCCAAAUACCAUUUCAGUCCCUCCAAAAAAACAACCACAGGGUGGGGACUGAGGAGAGAGACCGGGUUUUUUCUUGUGUGUUCUUCUUCAGAGAAAACACCAAGAAAUCAGAAUCAUCACACCACCUUGAGUAAGAAUCAAGCUUUCGCAUUUCCCUGUUUGAUUCCAUCGAUUUUUUUUCUGAUUUUUCGUAGAAAAUCUUGAGGCUUUCUUUUUGGUAACGAAAAAAGUUUCUGAAUUUUCUCGGCCGCUGAUACCAAAUCCUCUGCUUGUUUUAUAUUCUGGGAUCUUUUUUUUGAUCUGGGUUUCGAUAUCUUGUGUUAUUUCUCCAGAUUCUCUCUUGUUCUAGCCCUCUCUGCUUGCAAGUUGCAAAAGAUAAGGUUUUUUUUUGGGAGAAAACAGAGGAGGUUGGCACAGAGGAUAUAUGUCUUCUAGAUUUUAUCUGUCGACUGGAGCUCCGAAGAAGCUCUGGAAAUCUUAUCAGCCUCUCUUUUGCAUGCACAAACAGAUUUCAUCUGUUUUUUCCAUGCCAUUAAAAUCACAAAGACAGAGGUAUGUGGGUUUAAUUUAUUACUCUCUUGCGUUUAAUAUUAUGUGUUUUCAGUUUUCAAUUUUUAUGAUAUUUAAUGUAUGUAUGAACAUCAAUAUUAGUGCUUUGUGGAAUUUUGUUUGAUGGGUUUUUUGUUUUAGGGGUUUUUGAUGGGUUUAAGGUCUUUGAUUUGUUGUAAUUUUUGUUUUCGUUGAUGCAAUUGGUGCAGGAGUUGUUCUGGAGUGAAGUGCUUUAAGGAUUGUUUCAGAAUACAAUUUUCGAUUUCGAUUUCUGGACUCGAGUUUUUGAGGGUUUUGGGUUUUUCUUGAUACCGAGUUCUGAACUUUUGAGAGAAUUUUUGUUUUCUUUUUCUUGUUUUCGGGUAUAGGGGGUUUAGGGGUUUUAAGUUCAAAAUGCCGGGGAUGAAAACCGUAAUCUUGAAUCAACAUGUGAGCUGGAACAAAUUGAAGAAAAAGCAACCUACCGUAGAGGAGAAUGCAGGUUACAUGAAGAGAAUUCGGAUUAUAUACAAUGAUCCUGAUGGUACCGACUCUUCGAGUGAAGAUGAUGAGGAAUAUGACAUUGAGGGAAACCUAUUUCAGCAUAGUAAGCGCUUUGUUUCGGAGAUUUUGGUUGUGGAAACAGAAUGUGAAUCAUCUGCAGGGACCAAUGGAGGCAGAAUUGGUCAUAGUACGGACUUUGAUGACUCUAAGAAAAGUAAUAGACUGCUCCCUAAGGGAGUUCGACGCAGAAAAUGGGGAAAAUAUGCUGCGGAGAUUCGAGAUCCAAUUCAAGGAAUUCGAAAAUGGCUUGGCACUUUUAAUACAGCAGAGGAGGCUGCUGCUGCAUAUCAACAAAAGAAGCGUGAGUUUCAGACCAUACAGUCACAGCGAAGGACUAAGAGCCACUGUGAAAACAUGCCAUUAUCAGAUAAGCAUGAGUUUGAGAGUAUGCAAUUAACGGAGGGAGACAAGCAUGGGCUUCAAGGCGUUCCUUUAUCAGAGGAGAGUCAGGAUUCAUCGUUUUGCCAUCCAUCACCAUCAUCUGUGCUUGAAAUGUCUGGUUCAGCUGCGCUUUGUUUUGGACUCGAAAGGUCGAAAGAAGAAUCUGGGGUGGAAGUUUCUGGGGGACAAGGCACUCUACAGCAACCAGUUUUUGAAGAAGAAGAAUCCAUUCCAAUGUUGCCUCCAAUGUUGCCACCGUUAGAUGUCGAACAGUUGAAUUUGGGAUGCGGCGACAAUUACGUGUUUUCUAGCUUGGAUCAGUUCUUUGAUGGCAUGUGUGAUAUUGUUGAUGAUGGUAUGACAGACAUAGUUGAUUAUCCCGCGUGCAAGGAUAAAAAAGGCGAGGCUACGUGUCUUCCCCCUCUCGACUUCAAUUUUGGUCAGCAGGAUUUCUCCUGGAUUGAUCAGAAACUGGAACACGGUAAGCCAUGAAGUUUUGUAGUUAGGAAUUACCAGUAGUUUAUCUAGUACAUGUUGCACAAUAAAAUGCUCAAGAAAUGUUUUAGCAGCGGUGUUUAGGGUUAAUCGUUUUCUAUGUUCGGAGAGAGUUCUUGGGUUUUCACUGUGCUUUUCAGCCGUCCAAGAUUUUUCCAACUCUCAGACUCAGAGUGGUAAUAUGUUUGAGUAAGCUAUUAUCUACUGAAACCUUUGUGUACUCCUUUUCUAUUUGUAUUAAUGACAAGUCCGUUUAGUCAAAUGCGUCAAACUGUGAUUUCCAGAUAAGUGGAAACGACUCUGUACUACAAACACAGAGCGAAUUGAUGUCGAUUCUCAAAGGUAAAGUUGCUUUGCCAAAUUUUGAAGAGAAGAUAAUACUGACAUGGCAGACAAGGAUCAUGUAACAUAGGAAGAGACAACAACAGUGGCUUUGGAUUAGCGUAUAGUGCGAGUCUUAGGAGGCGUGUCGUUUAAGGAUAAUUAUAUGGCCAGGAAAGGCGGCUAAUUGAAGUUAAGCUUUCACUUUCAAUUGAAACCAUCAUUUCGCCGGCCCGGUUCAAUUUCGAGGAAAAAAUCCUCGCCGGAUCAUUUUCUUAAGGAUCUUGUGAUCGUGACCGUUCAUCGUACAUUGUACAAUUAGUUUUCGUUAAGUACUAUUUAUAUUUAAUUUUAAAUUUUAAACUUUGAAAUUAUUUUUUACCGCACGAUGUACGAUGAACGGUCACGAUCACAGGAUUCUUAGGAUCCCCAAGAAAAGAAUCCGGCGAUGAUUCUUUUCCCAAUUUCGAUGGGUCCGAAAGCCACAUUCAUAACAAUAUAAAGCUGACCAAGUCCAUUGUGAAAAUUGGAAAAAAAAUUGAUAUCGAAAAGUAAUUGUUGAAUUCAAAAGGAAAUGCGAUUACGACAUGUCCUGCUUUGUUACAAGUCCUCGAUAACUCUACAAGUUAUAAGAAAAACACUUCAAGCCCGAAAUUAGCUUGACUCAAUCCAACAAACAAUAAAAACCCGAUACGGAAAUAUACAUUUUCAAAAUCCGAAUUAUUUUUCAACUCCCCGAAAAAACUAGGAGCACAGUAAAUGUGCAGAAGCCCCGUAAACAUUACAGCCAUUGGAACUUGACACGGAACAAAACGUUUAGAACGUACCCUCCCCAGGCUACAGCUUGAGUAGGGACUUCAGUACUGCUAUCAUUGACGAAAAGCCAGUUCGCAUACAACAGCAAGAUGAUCGCUGCCCCAUUGCUGCAAAGCAAAACCGAAACUUGAGAGAAAUACACAACACCUUACUACCUUAUCACACUUCCAAGUUUUCAGGAGAAUUUCUGAGUAGUUCACUUGUUUAUCGGUCUGUUCACUUUUCUACAGUACUGAACAUAGUGAAGAAGCUUAUGAUGCUCUAACUCAAACAAUUGUUUAAUUCUCCUUUAAAGCAAGCUAAGUGACUGAUAAAGCAUAAAUAAUUGGAGAUAGAAAGUUACCUUGCUGGGGAGUCCUCCAUCUCUUCUUAAAGCAUUGACUGGUAAGGUUUCAAGAACUCUGACAGGAACAAGUUCCUCGGUAUGCCUGUCACUCAGCGACCAAAAGUAUUUAAGUACAAAGCACAAAACAGUAACACUCAGCCUGUUAGAAUUUAAUGAAAUUCCGGACAAUAGACCGACCGAAAAACAAAAAGGCAUACCAAAUAUAAUCAACGGUUCCCAUAAACUCGGAGUGGUAUGAUGUUGCCAAGGGUUCUCCAGACCUAUCUCUGGUUCUACAACUACCCUGCAGAAAGGCACAUACAUACAGCAUUGGGAAAAAGAUAAUUGGAUUUAAGCAUCGAAAUUUUUUUAAGUAGAAAUGAUUUAAGACUUACAGGUACUCCCAGGUAUGCACUGCAAAGCUUCAAAUUGUGCCGAAGACAAGUGACUACUUCACUGCCAGUUGCAAGCCUUACUUCUUCCUCGCUCCAUAUAUAUGAAAAUGGCCUAAUAAAAAAUUUUGUAAUACCGCAUCCACAAUACAGAAUUCAGUUAGAACUUUUUUUAAAAGAAAAAAAAAAAAGUUCUUUAUCUGCAGUGCAUGUUGUUUGUACCAUACUUGACAAAUCCUGAAACUACCGAGCACCGGUCAACGUUAUACCGUCAAGGACCCAUAAGAGUUUCCCUCCAACCAGGAGGCCAAUCACAGCGCGACACAUGUCGACAUCAGAAGCCAAUCAUAGCGCGACACGUGUCAACAUAAAAAACCAAUCACAACUCGACACGUGUCAAUGUCAAAACAAAGCUAGAAACUCUCUUCUAUAAAAGGAGAUCAUUCUCCCACAAUAUUUCCUAAUGUCAUUUGUACUAAAUCAUUCACUAGUACUCACUAAAGGAGAGCUUGAACCUAUGUACUUGUGUAAACCCUUCACAAUUAAUGAGAAUUCCUCUACUCCGUGGAUGUAGCCAAUCUGGGUGAACCACAUACAUCUUGUGUUUGCUUCCCUAUCUCUAUCCAUUUACAUACUUAUCCACACUAGUGACCGAAGCAAUCUAGCGAAGGUCACAAACUUAACACUUUCUGUUUUACCAAAGUCCUCACUAAUUUUGUGCAUCAACACAUGUCAUAUGAGAGGUCAAGGAAACAAUAACUUAUGUCAUCCUGCUUUCACUUAAGCAGUUAACCGGAAAUUUCAAAAAAAUGGAUCUCCCGGGUUCUCACCAAACCAAAGGGAGUUUAACAAAAAAUAAAGAGAAAAGGAAGACUACUGAAUUCCAUAAAGUUAUAAACCAAUUAUAUCUAAUUUUAGGUGAUAAAUGCACUAGUCAUAUUGCUUGUACAUGUUCUAAUGCGACAUUUGAGGUAACUAUUCAUACACUGAAGUACCUGCUUGCUUGCUCAUUCUGAAAUCUGAAGCCUCUGUGAUUCGAGUUCAGGACAAACUGUCCGGAUAUACCUCUGCGGUCAUGUAGUCGGAUGUCCAACUGCAAUAAACCACAGCAAGAACAGCAUAACAUAAACUGAAACCCAUACAAAAAGGAGGGGAAAAAAAAAGACGACAAAGAAACAGAGGGGGAAAGCAGGAGAAGCCAAAAUGGAAUCACCUCAGAAGAAGCUAGGAAAUGGUACAUAGGACUCUGAACAUUUGACGAACCAAAAAAUUCGGUGUAAGUGACGUGGACCAUCUGAAUCAAACAUGCUUAAUAAACGAUAUCAUUGCAGGAAGUCACCUGUGGGAUGCUAUUUAGAUCUCCCGAAAUUAUAACAGGGAUGCUGCCCCACUCUUGUGAUAGCUCGUAAGCUUUUUUAAGAAACAGUCGGACCUAAUGCAUGAUCACAUUUGAGAUAUAUUACAAACUAUGCUGUACAGUCCCAUUUCUGAAAAAAACAUAGUAGAGAAUACCUGCCCUAGCUUGAUAUCUCCACGUUUUGGGUUGAAUAGUAGAUGUGUAUUCCCAAUCACUAAGCUUCUACUUUGGGUGUAUGGACUCCUGUAUGAUGUGAAAUAACCCACCAAUAUGUGAAGUAAAACCAAAUCCUAUACAAAAUAUGCAAACAGGACAGAAAGAAAACUUAUACUCACGUUCCGGGAGGUAUGCCUGACUCUAAUUGAUUUUGGUUACUCUGCAUUUUCAACAAACAAAAACAAUGUCUAGUGUAGCUAAGCAACAAUAGUAAAAUGGAAACAAGACAAUUGGCAGCACAAAGGGGUUCGUCGAAGUCAUAGAUUUAGAAGAUCACACUGGAAAUCAUAAUUUUACCAUGUGACAAGGCAUGUUUUACAUGGCUAGAUAAGGCCCAUAAGGGUAACAUUCAAACCUAAGUACCUAACCACAGAGAAGUGCACAUUUAAAAAAAUGUGAUGCUUGAUGCUACAGGAGCAAACCAUCAUGCCACCAUGACAUGACACAUCAAUAUGAAUUUCAACUAAUGAAUUAGCACCCCUUAGAAGAAAGUAAUGCCCCAUAUACCUUUAAUACACAAAGUUGAGCAACAUUGUUACGAAGUCCAAAACUUUGGAACUCUAUAUUUUCUUCAUGUAAAAGGCUAAACCUGCAUUCAGAAAAUCAUUGGCUAAAAGCUGGAAUAGAAAGAAACUAAAUUGAUAAUAAACAAGAAAUGACAAGUUAUACAAACAUACAAUACCAACAUGAUCGUAACUAAUGAAAAUUAGAUAGGAUAUAUAAUUCAAAUGCAGUCAUCAAACAUGUUUCUCAAGAAACUAUAAAACCACAACUAAUAUAAUAAAUAUCAAAGGAAAAACCAUCUAGCUAGUCAUAAAGAAGUAACAACAUAUUUGAUUUGAGGAGAAACAAGAUUGGAUAUGAACUGAUCUGUCAUUUGAACUUAGAAGUCAAAGCAACGUGCAGAAAUUUUACAAUUUUCGAAAGGUCAACUAAACCAUACAUUUCCUUUUUCCAAAAUAUGGCGCAUCCAUCAUUUGCUUCACCCGUGCGCGCCUAGGGAUAGUUGGUAAUCAUUAAUCAGAAUGUAUGCCAAUAAGAAGGUACUUGACAAUGGUAAGUGAUUACAUACUUGGAAAAGAAAAUUCAAAGCUACCUUAUAAACACCUUCGAACCCAUCUUUCUGGAAAAGAUGAGCUAAAUCAUCGAAACGAUCAACCUCCUACAGCCAUACAAGUAACAUAUUAUUAACUUAAAAUUAAGUGAAACAAUAAAGAUUCACACUUUAGCCAACACAUCAUAUCUACAUUGCCAAACUCUUCGACUUUACCUGCAAGCACAUGAUGCUAGCAUUGUAACGAUUGAUCUCCUUCCGAAUAAGCUUCCGGCGGCGGUUCCACUCCAAGAACAUGGGUGGGACUUUGUAGUACAACUCUGGGUGCUUGGAUGCAUUUUCCACACCCAGAAUGUUAUAAGAAACAACCACAAAUUUCUCUGGACACCACAACAUUCAAAAAAAUUAGCACAAUGCCUUGUUUGGCUGAGCAAUCCAAACAGCUAAUUGCAGUAACAAACAAUCCUAAGCGAACUCAAUUAAAGUCAAAUUAGCCAAACAAGGCAUUUGAAAAUUGGAUAUUUGUUUACCUCCAUAGGUGGAAGCAGAGGAGCUGCAGGGAGAAGAAGCCCACUCCCGGGAGCUCUCUGUCUCGGUUCGACUCGGUUGCCGCUUCGUGUGCUUCCGAUACGAAGGCGAUACAAAUUGGAACCUGGAUGACGACGGCGGCGGUGGCGGGUCGGAUUCUCGGGUUAGGGUUUUAGAUUCGGACUUCACUCUUCUGCGACGCCGCCUUUCGUGAGGCGGAGAGUGAGGGUGGUUCUCUGCGGCUUCUGUGUUGUGUGAAUGUUGCUUGCGCUUACGCCGCCGUACAUCGCCCGUUUCUUCCAUUCUGCCUAACUUUUUAGUUUUGGAAGCGGUGGCGGGAAGUAGGAACGCGCUCAAUUUGUGGUACGCGCUGCCAUGGUGAGAAUGGGGGUGGUUGCUCCGAAAUUCAGUUAACGGCGUUUAAGAGGAGGAGAAAGGGAUAGAUGUCCAAUGAAGUUAAAUGGCCCAAUAAAAUGUUCAAGAUCUCAGCCCAAUUUUUAUAACAAUUCAUUAGAUAUUGACAAAGACUUUUACAAUGUAAACAAGAGAAAUGCUAAAAAGACCCUUUAAUUGAAAAUUUUACUUUUUGUUAUUUUACUGUUUAACGUUAAUUUUUAUAUCAAUAUUAUAAAAUAUUAUGUCAAAACAUGAGAUGAUAGCGAGUCCAUAAAUAGUCUCGCUUUUGAAAAAAUUUCUUUAGCAUUUACUAGUUAGUUUCACCCAAUUUUAUUUGGAACGAGAUAAAUUUGGAGGCAGAUUGUCUGCUUUCCUGUUUGGAUGCCCUUCUCAUUCCCUUCUAUUUAUGCGGUCACGGUUAAGUCACGUUAACAUUUUAUAUUCUUAUUGCUUUUUGUCUUAUUAUCUCUAUAAAAAAAAUUGAUAUAAAAUGUUGACAUGGCUUAACCGUGACCGCAUAAAUAAAAGAGGAUGGGAAUAUCACUCAAAUAGAAGGGCAGACAAUCUGCCUCUGAUAAAUUUAGCAGUACCUCCUAAGCUUACCACUUUCCUCUUUCCAAUUAUAUCCCUCCACUUUUAACUGAGCUAUGAAAUCAUGGACUUUUUAAUCGUAUGAUUUCUCCUAUCGUUCUGUAAGUCUCAAAUUAUGUUCUUGCAAUGAAGUAGAAAGUGUGGAACUACAAUUUUCUUCCGUAAUUUGGACCAUUGAGUAGUUUUGAAAAUGGACGGUGAAGUUGACUCUAAAAAAUCAAAGUAUUUAAUAGUCUAAACUAACAAAAUAUGUGAUACUUAUGAUUGUUUGCAAAAAAAAUGACAUAUUUUGAAAGUUAAAAGAGAUCAAAGCUAAGGGUGCAUUUUUGCUCAUUCAAGUGGUUGUAAUGUUAACCAUCCUACUUAUUACUAUUAAAUGAGUUUAAAUUUUAAGAUUUUUAUCUAUCCACUACACAAAUCUUGAAAUUUAAACUCAUCUAAUAAUAAAAAAUAAAAUGAUGAAUUUCACCAUUACUUAAGCGUGAUGGGUACAAAUAUUUUCCAAAACUAAAUUAAAAUUGAAUCAACUAAUCCUUUUGAGUUCGUAUAAUGGAAGAACUCAUUUCAACGGCUAUUGCUCAUGGUGGCACUCAAGGGCCAAAGACUGGUUGGUCCAAAUGUCCAAUAGCCUAAGAAAUAAUUAAAGAAUCACACAUUGGUCUGCGCAACACCAACUUUCUCUCACUCUCAUUAAUUUAUGAUGUGUACUCCCAACAACUUCACUCCACUCGAAAUUAAAUUAAUCGACCAAAUUUUUUGAAAAAUUGGACAAAGAUAUGAUCUUUCCAACUAUUUUCAACAAACCCACCCAAGCAGAUUUACAAGAUGAGAUCAAAUCACCUAGUACUAGUACUUCUGCAACUUUUAUUCAUCUUCUCCAUUAGUCUAGCAAAUGCCAAGUCCACCAUAGAACCAUGUUCCUCCGCAGACUCCUGCUCCUCCCUCCUCUCCUACAUCCUCCCAUGGGACUCGAAACUCUCCGAAAUCGCCUUCCGCUUCCAACUAAACGUCUUCGACGUCCUGGCCGCCAACUCCAUCAACUUAACCAUUCCGUUCCUUGGAAACCAAAUUAUGAAAGCGAAAACCCUACUAAAGAUUCCCAUUUCGUGUCCAUGCGUGGACGGCAUCAGGAAGUCCGUUUUAACCUAUACCGUCCACGCGGUGGACACGUUGGAUCUGAUAGCGGAAGGGUACAGCGGGCUCGUGAGCGCCGAGCAGAUUAGGACUGUGAACGGGAUAGGCGCCAAGAAUCCGUUGACGGGCGGGCAGAGCGUUUGGUGCAGUUGCCAUGCACGUGCUUUAAUAAUAGUAACAACGGGGUUGCUUCUGUGUACAUGUCGUAUGUGGUGCAGAGUGGGGAGAGCUUGAGCGGCAUUGGCGGAGAGUUUGGAGCGACUGUGAUGGAGUUGGUGAGCAUCAAUGGGCUCGAUCAACCGUUGGUUGAUCCUGGUGACAUAUUGGCUAUUCCAAUUUCAGGUUAGUAGAAUUUCAAUGAAAUUGGUUUUUAAUACAAGCGAUAAUAUGUAAUACAGAGAAUUGAACUUAAGACUUCAAAUGCAAAGAUAAUUGUUACAACGAUGUCAUUCCAAUUUUUAUUGAAAUUUAGGGAGUGUAUUCAAUUGAGAAUUUGAGAGAUUUUAAUGGACUUACAAAUCCAUAGAUUUUUAUGAAGUCUGUGUUUGUUGGUUGUUAAGAUUUAAUUAAUUUAUAAGGAAGAAAGGUAGGUUGGUGAAUUUAUGUGAUUAUGUACAUAAUUAAUUUGGCGAGUAAUGUAAUUAUGUACUUGCUGGUCAAAGAUGUUCUUUGAGUUCUGCAUGUGUUUGGUUUUGAAGCUAUCAAGAGGAGAAUCUAUGUUUUGGUUAAUGUGGCAUAGUACAAUAAGUUAAAGAAAUGAAUGAAUAAAUUUUGGUACUCCCUAUACCAACAGUGCUUAGAUAUGUUCACCAAAUAUAUUAACAUAUAGAAUUGAUUUGGGCAAGUCAUGAAUUAUUUUAAGUUUAUAGAAUGAUCGGUGUGAAAAGUAUUUACCCUCCUUCGUUUGUAUAAAAAAAGAGCGUCGGAUUUAUAUAUGCAACAUAAUCGAAGCUGCACCUACGUACGUACAUACCAAACAUAUAGAUAGAUUAGCUAAUUAAUUAAAUUAAUAUAGUGUCACGGUAUAUGCAGCAUGUUCAUCAGCAAAUUUGAACUGGUACAAUGAGAGCUUAAUAGUUCCAAAUGGUUCAUACGCCUUAACUGCCAACAACUGCAUAAAGUGCUUUUGCAGAUCAACCACUCUCAAGUAAGCAUGUUUAAAUUACCAGUAUAUCGUGCUCACAAUUUUCUACAUGUUAAAAGCCUGGCAUAUUGUACAUUAAUUUGUACUGAGCUGACUAUCUUGGUUGGUCAUCAGCUUGCAGUGUUCCCCAUCUGGCAUUGUCCCCUCAUGCUCUCACCUGCAAUGCAAAGACUCCGAUGUCUUCAUCGGCGAUGUGAUAACCAAACCAACAGCAUUAGGUUGUAAUGUCAGCACAUGUGUGUACCGAGGCCACAAUGGCCGCAAGAUUUUCAGGAGGUAAGAGCAAGGAGAAAGUCUUACCUAAUAACGCUUGUAUGGGGCACCAUUUACACAAAAAGUAGAUCCAGCUGCAAGUCGCAUGCACUAGCAAGACAAACCAUUGCAAUUGGAUAUUUAUUAGGGUGGUUUGCUAUCCAAACACUCAUUUUUACCUCCCACACACUCCUUUCAAUUUUCGGUUAUCGGAUCGAAUGAAUGAAAGAAGAUCAAAGAAUAGAAAUUAACAAGGAUUGUGUGAGAGAUAAAAAUGAAUGUGUUGAUAGCACCACCCUAUUUAUUAACACACAAGAACAAGAUUCUAGAGCCAAUUUAACAAUUACUUGUAUUACUUUUUAACUAUAUCCUUUUCUUGCGCAGUUUGGAAAAUUCUUCUCAUGCCAAUUGCUCAGGUGACAAUUACUAAAACCUAUUUAUUUUUCUUUGAUGAUUAUUAUUAUUUUGUUUCUGUUUACUGUAAAAACCUGGCUGUGCAGAUGUACAAGAUUACAGCGCAGUGUCACCAGAGCAAUCUUCUAAUCCUGUAAUCCCAUAUAUAUCUUUACCUCCAUCAGCAUCACCAUCUUCUUAUCCACCCAUGGGAAUUGGUGCUUAUGGACCUACGAGUACACACAACCCCAAUAUCUCUAAUCACAGCAGAUUGCUUACUCAAUCUUCAUACUACAUUUUGUUGGUUGUCCUUGCCCUCUACUUUUUCUUGUGAUAAAAUUAAUCGAUGCCAAUUCUAAAUGUCCCCAUGUAAACUUUUUGUUCUUUUGAUUCAUAUUUUUCAAUUAGAUGCUCAAUCCAACCAAUGAAAUGACAUAAAAUGUCAGAAGCAGCAACAUUUGCAAUGUUUUAGGUUACUGCCCCUUCUCAUUCGUAUGGUUUCAACUUUUAACCUAAUUUCUGUUUGUGCAUAUUUGGAUUUUACUACGGAUCAUAGUUACCCUAAUCCGUGCACGUAUGGUAGUAGCUCAGAGUUGUCAGCGGAGUUAUGCUCACAAAUCAGAAAUCUACACGAGCUUGACCCAUUAUAAAUUGGUAUGCGUUGGGGUCGUCUGAGCCAUUCCGCUAAGAAAACUUACACAUAAAUUUCAGCCCAAACUCUGUCCACAAAGUCCAAUUGUUCAUCUGAUCAUCAACUGCUUCUUCUUCAUGAGAAAAUAUGGUUUGUAACUAUGUUUAUUAUCCACCGCCAUUAGUAUUAGUAAUUUCUUUGUCACAUGUCAUGCGAUAUAGAAAUACUAGUGUGAAAUAAUAUCACUGAUUGCACCACAAAAAUCUUCCCUUUUUGUUAACCAAUAUCAAUGGAAGAUCUGUGAUCUACGAAGAACAGUUUGAGAGAGAGAGAGAGAGAGAGAGAGAGAGAGAGAGAGAGAGAGAGAGAGUGAGUGAAGAAAGAAGUUGUAUAUGAUUUUCCUUAAUCUCCAAGUAAUGCAAUGUACAUCACUAUUUAUACACAACAAACUUAACUACCUAAUUAUCCCAUAGCUCCUAUUCUUGUGACAAGUGUAACAAUCCUACACUCACUAACUCAUAUUCUAACAUCCCCCCGCAAUCUCUUGCUUUGAUAAGCUAAGCAUGAGAUUCUCACAAUGUGUUCGAAACAAAGGAGCACUCAAUCCCUUGGUCAAGAUAUCUGCAAACUGUUCUCUGGAGGAAACACUUGGCCACUCGUUCCCUAACAAAAUGCACAUCGAUUUCAAUAUGUUUGGUCUUUUGAUGCUGAACCAAAUUAAAUGAAAGAGCAAUAAUGGAGAGAUUGUCACAAAACAAUACUAGAGCUUGAGAUAUAGGAACAUGCAGAAACACAAGUAAUUGUUUGAUCCAAUCGAGUUCUGCAGAAGUAGUAGACAAAGCAUGAUAUUCGGCCUCAGUAGAGGACCUGGAAACAGUUUGUUGUUUCUUAGAAGACCAAGACACAAGAUUUGGUCCAAGAAAAAACAACGAACCCAGUAGUGGAGAGAUUGUCACAAAACAAUACUAGAGCUUGAGAUAUAGGAACAUGCUGAAACACAAGUAAUUGUUUGAUCCAAUCGAGUUCUGCAGAAGUAGUAGACAAAGCAUGAUAUUAUGCCUCAGUAGAGGACCUGGAAACAAUUUGUUGUUUCUUAGAAGACCAAGACACAGGAUUUGGUCCAAGAAAAAACAACGAACCCAGUAGUGGAUCGUUGAUCAUUUGGGUCUCCUGCCCAAUCAGCAUCACUAUGUUAGAUUCAAAGCUCCUAUAUGAUAGUUGAUUCCCAAGUGCAAUGUGCCCUGUAAGUACCUGAGUAUGCGCUUCACAGCUGUGAAAUGAGCAACCAUUAGAUUCUGCAUAAACUGGCAAACCUGAUGCAAAGAGAAGGCAAUAGCAGGCCUGGUAAAAGUAAGGUACUGUAAUGCCCCCACAAUGCUUCUAUACAACUUAGGAUUUCCAUACGGCUGACCAUCAUCCUUAAGCAAUCUGUUAUAGGGUAGACAUGGAGUAUCACAAGAUUUAGACUUAUUCAUUUCUGUCUUGAGUAACAAAUCCUGAACAUAUUUGGCCUGAGACAGAAAUAACCCAGUUUUGGUUUUGGAAAUUUGAAUUCCCAGAAAAUAAUGCAAAUCGCCUAAGUCUUUGAUCUCAAACUCAAUUGUGAGAGAGUGAAUAACAUCCUGAAUAGCAUUGGAUGCACUGCCAGUAAUAAUGGUGUCACCAACAUACACCAAUAGGAUAACAAUCUCAUAAUGCACUUGUUUCACAAAUAAGGAAGAAUCAGAGUAUGUAGAUUUGAAUCCCAGUGUUGGUAGAAAUGAAGUAAACCUUUCAUUCCAAGCUCUGGGAGCUUGUUUUAACUCAUAUAAAGAUUUAUGAAGUUUGCAGACCAAAUGUGGAUGAUUGGGAUCCACAAAUCCAAGAGGUUGAACCAUAUAUACUUCUUCUUGGAUAAUUCCAUGCAGAAAUGCAUUCUUGACAUCCAACUGCCUUAAACUCCAACCAAAGUGUGCUGCAAGGGCCAAAACAAUUCUGACAGUAGUUGGCUUGACAACAUGACUAAAAGUUUCUCCAUAAUCUUGACCUGGUUCUUGACUGAAGCCCUUAGGCACUAACCUAGCUUUAUGUCUAGCAAUAGAGCCAUCGGCAUGCUUUUUAAUCUUAAAUAUCCACUUACACCCGACUAAAUUUUUAUUUGCAAGUAAUGACACCAAACUCCAUGUGCCCUAAGAAUGAAGCGCAUCAAUUUCUUCUGUCAUAACUUUCAUCCAAACAAGAACUGUUAAUGCAUUUUUGUAAUUAAGAGGCUCAACCAAAGACAAAUCAACACCACCAGAUUCUUGUAGAGUAGUCAACAAAGCAUUCUUCUUCACAAUUCCACUUUUGCUUCUAGUUUGCAUGGGAUGCAAAUUCAUAGGAGGAAUCUCCAGUACUACUUGCAAAACUUCAGGUUGAAAUGAAGAACCUUGAUGCAUAUGAACAGAUGAUAUUGCUUCAGCAUUGGACUCAAGUACCACAGGGACUGAGGGAGAAGAUUCAGAUGUACCAGUAAUGGACAAAGGUGAGGGUUGGACAAAUGGAGAAGAUAAGGAUGACAUGGGUGAUGGUUGUGGUGUUGGAAGAGAAGACUCAAUAGAAUUACUAAGGGUAUGAGUUGUAUCAAUAGUGGAAGGGACAUGAGACACAGGUAGAACAACAACAUUAGUGUUUGUGAAGGUAGGCAAAAAAGAUGGAGGUUGAGACAUCACAGAAGGUGUAUGGGAGGACUUGGAAAUGGAUAAGUCUGGAAAUGGAUAAUCAUGUUCAUCAAAUAUAACAUGCCUAGAAAUGUAGGUUAUGUUUCCAGAUACAUCAUAACAAAUAUACCCUUUGUACUGUGAAGCAUAACCUAAAAACACACAUUUAAUGGUUUUGGGUUGAAGUUUGGUACUGAGAUAUGGUUUUAACAAGGGAUAGCAGGCACAACCAAAUAUUCUCAAAUGGGAAAUUUGUGGAACAACUCCAAAUAGAACUUCAAAGGAAGACUUAUCAAGGAGAACGGAUGUGGGCAUUCGAUUAAUCAGGUAUGAUGUAGUUUGGACAACAUAGGACCAGAAAUAGGAAGGUAACUUAGCAUUCUGCAAUAAAGGGAUUGAGGUUUCUAUAAGAUGCCUAUGUUUUCUCUCAGCCAACCCAUUUUGUUCAGGAGUAUAGGGACAUGAUUUCUGAUGAAGGAUACCCUUAUCUUUAAGAAAAGAUUGAAACUGUUUGCUAAUAUACUUUCCCCCCCCCCAUUACUUUGGAAAAUCUGAACACGACUUGAGAACUGAGUUUGAACAUAGUUAUAAAAUGUAACAAACACAGAGAACAAGUCAUUUUUAUUGAUUAAUGGAAAUAACCAAUAGGGCCUUGUACAUUCAUCAACGAAAAUCACAUAGUACCUAUAUCCAUCUUUGGAAAUACAAGGAGAAUGACCCCAAAGGUCACUAUGUAUGGUGUGAAAAGGUUGGACAAACUUAUUGACACUGUGGUGAAAAGGAAGUUUACAAAACUUACCUUAUAGACGACUGUGACAUAUGACUGGUGAAGAGACCUGUUUACAUUGGAUAUGAGCUUUAUGCAACAUCAAUGUAACAAUUUUAUUUGUAGGGUGACCUAGUCUAUGAUGCCAAGUAGAAGAUAGUGCUAGCUGACCAAUAUAUGCUUGAGGUUGUUGUGUUGUAUUUUUUAAGAUAGAUGGAGAAGAUGCAAGAGGAAUGGGAUAUAGUCCAUUACUGCACAACCCUUUGUAGAGAAUCCUCCCUAUGGCCUUGUCCUGAAUCCAAAAGCAAAACGUGUCAAAAAUUAGCCAGCAGGUGUUAUCCAAACAGAUCCGAUGUACUGACAACAAGUUUUGGUACACAAAUGAUAGAAUUCAAAGUUAUUGGUUUCACUCUGGUGUUAAUCAGAAUUGACCAAUGUGUGAUACUAACAAACCUUCACCAUUUGCUGUUUGAAUCGUUUCAUUGGAUGGAUAAGGAGUCGCCAAAGACAAGUUAGACAGAUCUGCAGUCAUAUGGUUUGUGGCACCAGAGUCAGUAAGCCAGACUUGAGGGAGGCCUUAAGAGGUGGAUGCCUGAGAUGGUUGAACUGCAGUAUACAUAGCAUGCAUAGAAGAUGGUUGAGAUUGGAAAUGUUGAGAAGAAGUUCCAUAAGUCUGAGAAGACAUCGGAGGAUAACUCUGAUAGGAACCACCACCAAUAUAAUUUGGACCUUUGUCAUUAUAAAAACAGUACCAUGUGGAAAGAUUUGUUUUGCCACAGAUGUGACAUUUGGAUCUCUCAGGAGGUUUAGAACCACAAAAUGGUGCAGUAUGACCUUCACUGUUGCACAAUUGGCAUGUAGGAAUAAGAGGGGCAGAUGGAGAAGAAUAGUAUUGACCUGGAGAUUGACCAAGAACACCAGGGGUUGGUGUAGGCAAAACAUGAGUCUGUGUGUAAAGUUGAGGUCUUGAGUUAAAUGACCUCUGACCUUAAUUAAAUUUUCCCUUGCCUUUGUUCCUAUUAAAAGACUUGUAGCCACCAUUAGGUUAGGAAGAUUGACCAUGAGAACCAGUAGACUGCUGAAGUAAUGGGGCUUAAGACAUAGGAGGUCCAGAGUUAGCAGCCAUAGUAGUGGGAUAUGAAGGAGCAACAGAAACAUUAUCCACAAUACUUUUUUUUCAGCCAAUAAUUGGGAUCGAAACUUAAGGGAAAUCACACUUUCUCUACCCCUAACCACACAUCGGAAGGUAUUAUACUCAGGAGGGAGUCCAUUCAAGGCUAGAAUUACAAUGUCUUCAUCAGCAAAAUAAACCCCUGCAGCUGCCAAGUAAUCUCUAGCCUCUUUGAUUUUAUGUAAAUACUGACUGACAUUAUCAGACCCUUUUCUGGUGUUCUACAAAUUAGACUUCAUUUGAAAUAUGCUAGUUCUUGACACAAUGGAAAAUUGUUCUUUAAGACGAACCCAAAGUUCUUGGGAGCUUUGGUUACCAAUCGCACAAGACAUAGCAACCGGAGACAAAGUCGCAGUAAUAAGUUGCAUAACAGUCCUAUCAUGCAUUUUCCAUAUGGAGCAACUUAUCACAUUUCUUAGAAGUAGAAGAGUCAGAAGAAUUGAUACCAGAAGCAGCAGAGACAUUGGGCACAGGGUAGUGAUUGGAUCCAUCAACAAAUCCCAUAAUGCCAUUGCUUUCCAGCAUGAGUUGCAUCUGAAAAUGCCAAUUCAGGUAGUUGGAAUCAUCUAAUUUCACAUUCACGGACGUGGAGAUAGUAGAAAUGAGGGACGUAAUUGGAGAUUGAAUAAUCGUAAGUUGAGCAGCAGUCACUAUUGUUGCAGAAAACAACCAAAUCAGAUCACUGUGCAAGAAAAAACUUCACUGAGAACAAAUCGCAAACACUUGGAAUGAACACGACAGAGAGAUAUCAAGGAAAGAUCGACCACCACACAAGAUCGAGCCAAACCCUAGACAAUGUAGGUGCACGAAGACGAAGAAAUCCUUGAGAAUCAAGAAACAGAAAUCAGAGGCAGCCGAAGACAGAAAUCGAAAGCAGCGAAAGCAAGAAGAUGGAUCGACGUAUCAUGCGCAAGCAUCAUAGGCGAUUGAUACCAUGUUAACCAAUAUCAAUGGAAGAUAUGUGAUCUACGAAGAACAUUUUUAGAGAGAGAGAGAGAGAGAGAGAGAGAGAGAGAGAGAGAGAGAGAGAGAGAGAAGAAAGAAGUUGUAUAUGAUUUUCCUUAAUCUCCAAGUAAUGCAAUGUACAUCACUAUUUAUACACAACAGACUUAACUACCUAAUCAUCCCACAUCUCUUAUUCUUGUGACAAGUGUAACAAUCCUACACUCACUAACUCAUACUUUAACACUUUUCACAGCACAAUUUCGAUUUUUUUUUUAAAUUUCGGUUUUUCUCUUUUAACCAAACCUGGGUUGUUAUAAUCAACAUAUAAAACCUAUCCCAAACCAAAUUAGGGACUGAUUGUUCCUGCAGGCUGCAGUGUGUUAGAGACGUUAUAAAUCUCCACCAUGAACAUAUGUAUGUGGAGUUCAGUUCCCUCACCAGUACUGGUUACUCAUUCUUAUCCCCAGCCAAAAGCUAGCUAACGUGGCACCUAUCUCUUCUUAGAGCACCCAGAUGUCGAAAGCGAACUCGAUCCCACCAUUUCAUCAGUUACCUAGAUUUCAAGCCAUCAUGGUCUAACUGACAAUUACAUAAUGCUGCGUUUGUUGGACAUGAUUUAUGUAUCAUGUAUGGAUGAUAAACUUACAUGACAGUAUGUUUAAUAUGUGUGGAACCUGUCACUCUUCUUCCCUUGUGAUAUCAAAUCGAUCAAUACGUUUCAUAAUAAGUUUGAUUACAUCUAUGGAAAUUCGAUUUAUAGGGCUCAGUGGCCGGCACAAUUUGAGUUUCAGAGAAUUAAGACUUAAGUUGAGUUUUAAAAGAUUAAGUGAGACUUGAGACUCGAGUUAAGUUUCAGCCUUUUACAAUGAAAACCAUAAAUGCCACAAUAGCAAAGUUUGGAUAUGACAUGGGCAAUUUUUGUUUGUUUGUUUUAAUUUAUGGUUUUGUACAACUUUUGUAGCAUUCUAGCCCAUAACAAGAUUGGGUUUGCACAGAAAUUUAAUGAAAUUUCGUCCUGGCUUGACUCCAACUGUAAACUUGUCUUGAUAGCAAAUUUUCAGCAAAAUAUUGACAAAAUUCUAUCUUCUUAUUACGAAAUUAUCGCACACAAGUAGUAAAUGUAGAUGUGUACAUGUUACCUUUCUAUUUUUGUGCACUUGAGCGUGUGAAACAUACUCAAGGGACCAAAGUCAAUCAACUUGCUGCUAAUCAACGAUUGUGGGUGGUGACACAAUAAGGUGGAUGCAAUUUGCGAAAAAAUGGUUGGUUUAGUGGGUAAUACCUUCGAAUUUAUCUCUUGAUUCGUAGUUUGGAGUUCUCAUAGCCCACUCGUUAGUGCUAAAGCUGCUCCUUAGCGCAUACAGCCGUUCGUUGGUGCUAAACCUACUCUUUAGUUAGCGCACAUAGUACGUGGUGAGACUUAAGCUUAUGCCUGGAUAUAAGUCCAGUGAGAAUAACAACUUGAUCAUGACUUAUGGGUGAAAAAUUAACAAGAGCUUUAAUUCUCUCUUAAGUCUUAAGUUCUUAACUAGAAAAAGAUAUUUUUGUAUUUAUCACAUGAGAGAUUGUAAUAUUACUGUUUUUAUGACUCAGAUUCGUUUACCAAUAGAAGUAAAAACCUAGAUAUCUAAAUUUAGCAAAUGGCUCCGCAGUAAGUUCAUCAUUUGGAGAGAACCACGUUCACAUAGUGGUUUAGGGUGAGACUGAGAGAUGGGAGCCACAAGAGAGUUGAAAGAAACCCUAAGAGGAGGGGCGGGGACCAAUAACAAGUUUCUACAUAAACCAACAAAAUAGUCUCUCUCAUUUUUCUCCCACAACACACAUGCUACAUACACACGCAAUUGCGGCCUUCCCUAACUCUAGUUUGGCCCACAUGGAUCCCUCAGUUUGACUUACAACCAAUAAGAAUUCAGAGAAACAGAUCAAGUUGAGAAGCUUAGCCAAUAAGCAGUGAGAUACGACCUCCUUGUGGGUCCCAAUAAGCUUUAGCAACAUCCUCUCCUCUCUUCCUAAUGUAGCAAAGCAAAGCAAACCACCAAAAAAACUGCAUGGCAACGAAGGUAAGAGUAAAAGCGCUGCAGUGGGUCUUCCUUUCACUCUCACAGUCUUCUCCCAGUCCCCACACUAUAAUUAUUGAACCAUUUGGGCCUAAAUAAAUAUGUGAAGCCACCUCAAUAUUCCGUGUUCAUGAGCUGUGACUACUUACAACAAAAGCACUUUGUUCACCUCAACAUUACUCCUUCUGAAUUCAGUUGUGACUUCUAACAAAAGUAAUUGUUCAUCGGUUUGAUUCUUGCUAGAUUUUAUCAAACACUUUGCUGUUUGCUGCUGCUGCUGCUGCAGUAUGAUCACGGAUAAGAAAGCUGCAAAUGCAAUGGGAGGCAACACAUCUCGAGCUUGCGAUAGCUGUUUGGUGAAACGGGCACGAUGGUUUUGUGCUGCUGAUGAUGCUUUUCUUUGCCAAAGAUGUGAUGCCUCGGUGCACUCGGCGAACCAGUUAGCAAGCAGACACGAGAGGGUUCGGCUCCAAGGUUCAUCUUUCAAGGCCAAUGCAUCGGUGCAGCUGAUUGCGGACCAAGCUGCACCGGCUUGGCACAAGGGGUUCAAGCGCAAGGCGCGAACCCCUCGCCACAACAACAAGCCUGGAUUCGUGGCCAAAGAUGAGCAAGAGAAAGUAGGGCUACACCCUCCUCUACCUUUUGUUCCGGAAAUCGGGUGCCAAGAAGCAAAUUUGAUGGAGGAUGAGGAAAAUGAAGAUCUAGAGCAGCUUCUUUAUAGGGUUCCAAUUUAUGACCCUUUUGCAGCCGAGCUUUGCAAUAUUUCGUCAAGUGAUCAGGUUGGGAACAAUACUGGUGCUAUUGAUCUCGAUGCCGAAGAGAUUGAGAUCAGAAAUACGGGAAAUGACUUGGACAAUUUGGGAGGGUUUCUACGGUCGGAUAUGGAGCUGGCGGAGUUUGCUGCUGAUGUGGAGAACCUGCUUGGAGGGGGACUAGAUGAGGAUUGUAGUGACAUCAAAGGAGUCCUGGGGCUAUUGGACGAGGGUAAAGAAGUGAAGGUUGAAGAGGAAGUUGAAGGGAUAGAAUUUAAUCCUUCGAUCUUGGAUUGGAGCUUGUAUUACGAUCAGUCAUCAGCUGUACCGGUACUAAUGGGAAGUGAGGAGGACAGGGAGGAAGAGGAGAAGGUAGUCCUGCUCAUGGGGGCUCAGAGUAGUGAUGAGAUUGGAUUCAUGGAGAACAAGCAAAUAGUGAUGAAGAGGAAGAACAUAUGUUUGAAGCUAGAUUAUGAGGCAGUCAUCACUGCCUGGGCAAGCCAAGGCUCUCAAUGGACGACUGGAACUCGACCGGAGCUCAACGCUGACGAAGGCUGGCUAGACUGCAUGGUAACAAUACUACUAUCUCUCUCUCUCUCUCUCUCUCUCUCUCUCUCUCUCUCUCUCUCCAUUUUCUGGUCCUACUGAUCUACUAGACUACUGGCCAACAAAGGCAUACUCAUUUGAAUCACUCGGUGCACUCUUCUGCCUGUGAUUACUGUCUACUGAAAAGAGUAAAAACAAAAAUCAUGUCCAUAUGAUUACAUAUAUAUAAUUACAUCAAAUCCGCUAUACUUUUUUAAUUUACUCCGUAAGGAUGAUUGCCUAUAUAAUUAAAAUCUAUCUAGCUAACUUGUGUUAAGUAAGACUAUUAAGCUCGCACAAUUUUUACAAAACCUAUAAUUAGGUUUUUUUCUUUCGAUCAAACCUAAUUAGGGUUAUGUAUUAUAUGGUUAUUGCAGGGUAUGUGGCCUACAGAAAUUCAUCAACCACAUGGAGAUUCAGCAGGAUGUGUAAGUCGAGGAAAAGGCGAUGACCCGGGAAGAGAAGCAAGAGUUUCUAGGUACAGAGAGAAGCGAAGGACGCGACUGUUUUCGAAGAAGAUAAGAUACGAAGUUAGGAAGCUGAACGCGGAGAAGCGGCCUAGAAUGAAAGGUCGAUUCGUUAAGAGGACAACGUCCAGCUUUGGUGGGGUGGGAAGUAGUAGUAGUAAUGCUCCUGCGGCUGCAUUUCCCUACCUCAUGAUCAAUAAAUAACCGUACGUAGCUGUAGCUCUCGUGAUGAUUUUCACGAACAUCCCAAUUUUGCUUGUUUUAAUUUCAUGGCAAAAUUGGACUGACACUGAUGUAUAUGCAAUGUGCCAUAUAUAUAGCCUGCAUUUGUGCGAUAAAUGAAGCAAGUUGGUAGCUUAUAACUAACACAGUUAGUCCAUCUCUCUCACUACCAAUUUAUUAAAAGGCGAGGGCAGAGGCGUAGGCGUCCCAUGAAUAGCCCCGCUUAGGCGUGAAGCGUGAGGCGAAGCCUCAUGGUACCUAAAAUUUUAAUAUAUUAUUAUAACUAAAUCAAAGAUAAUAUAAUUAUCUUUAUAAAAUAUAAUUCUUUAUAAAAUAUAAUACUUUGUAAAACAAAUAUAAUUAUAACUAAAUCAAGGAUAAUAUUGUCUUCCUCAUUACUAAUCUUGUUGUACUUAGGAACUAUGUCAUAAAGUCUUAAAAUGUUAUAAUUAUUUAUUUUAUUGUAAGCAAUUAUAGAGAACUUCAAGAAAAAUAAGGGUGAGUGUCCACAAUUAUAGAGAAUUUUAAGGAAAAUAAAGGUUGAACGUCACAAUUAUAGGAAAAUUCAAAAGGAAAUAAAGAUUGGGUGGAGGGGAAUUUAAAAUGAAAUAAAGGUUGAGUGAGCAAUUAUAGGGAAAUUCAAAAGGAAAUAAGGGAGCAUUUUUGCUCACCACCAUUUAGUGUGGUGUAUGCUUACCACCCUAUUAAUUACCGUUAGAUGAGUUUGAAUUUUGAGAUUCGUGUAGUGGAUAAGCACAAAUCUCAAAAUUCAAACUCAUCUAACGGUGAUAAAUAAGGUGGUGAACAUACACCACUCUAAAUGGUGGUGAGCAAAAAUACACCCAGGAAAUAAAGGUUGGGUGGAGCAAUUAUAGGGUAAAAGGAAAUAAAGGCUUAGUGGAGCAAUUAUUAUAGGAAAUUUAAAGGAAAAUAAAGGAUGAGUGGAGUAGUUAUAGGAAUUUUGAAGAGAAAUAAAACUUUGCUAAUUAAAAAUAGGAUUUGGGGAGAGAAACUAUCUCUUCCUUCUUUGUUGAAACUUGAAGUUUCCUGCAUUUUAGAAACAACCAUAGAUUUCGAAGGAAAAAAAUGCCCAAGUUGAACGCCUAGGCGUGCCUCAGCUGCCUAGGCAUGCCCUAACGCACCCUACACACACCCCCACAAAAUAAAGGCGAAAACCCAGCCGCCCAACCUCAAAGGCCGCCUAGGCCCUCCCGAGAUGAGUUUUUUUAAACAUUGCUCACUACUACUCAUAACUAGCUAGUACUUCAAAUUCGAAGCUUUUACUGAACAAAGUCAGAAGAGCUCCCUCUCUCACAUUAACCAAUAUCAAUUUUGAAAUUGUGUGUGCUAAUUGAUGCAUGUAUAGCUAACAACUGGUUGGCAAUAGCUACUACUAUCUUAGACUUGAGUAACAAUAUUCAUGUUUUCUUAAUUUACGUAAGAGUAAAUUUUUAGAAAUCCCCCCGAAGUUAUACGUACUUCACUUCUUAUUACCUUUACGUGUCGGUGUGCACAUGCCUUUAUAUAAUGGCAAUUUGGAUGAAAUGUGAAGAAAAUAGACAGUAUGGGCUACAAUCAUUCUUUUGAGUCCUUAACUUACUAAAAACAAAAGUUCAAAGAGUAAAUCAGAAAGCAAAUACAAGUUCAUGGAGUAUUUUGGCAAUUUACUUAACAAUGUUAGAGAUAAUGUACACAUAGGAUGGUGACACUUGUAAACAGAUUAAGAGAGUUAGUUAUAGUUGUUAAGAAUAUGCAAAUGUAAGUAGGGUGUAGUAUAUAUACUCUUAUAGUGUAAUAGCUUGGUGAUUAAGAAAAGAAAUAGAAAUAUCUUUCUCUCUCUAUGAAUCUCUUUCUCUGACUUCUCUCUCUAAGAUUACUGUCUGUGAUUCUCUUCUUCUUAGUUUACAUGGUAUCAAUCGCCAUUUUCGCUCUUGCUGUUUUCUUCGAUCCUUCGGCUGCUUCCGCUCAUCUUCUCACUAUGUGAUUCUUUCUCGUCCUCGACGUCGAUUCUUUUCUGUAUGCUUGGACGUAUUCUGGUAUUCUUCUUCGUCUUCUGUGAUUUCUAAGGUUCUUGGUGUUUCUUGAUCUUCUUGCAUCGGUGUUUCCAGAGUGUGCACACCAGGUGUUUGUGAUAUUUCCUCUCUUGGAUUUCUAUCUUCUUUCUGUAUAAAUGGUGUCUGCAUCUCAAUUACAACUCCUUCAGUCGCCUAUUACUGCUCUCAUUUCUACUAUUUCAACAUCUAUCAAUGUUAAGCUUGAUGAUUCGAAUUAUCUUAAUUGGCAUUUCCAAAUGCAAUUGUUACUGGAAAGUAAUGGAAUCAUGGGGUUUGUUGAUGGUUCAACACCCUGUCCUGCUCGGUUUGCUCCUAAUUCUGGUGAUUCUGGAGUUAAUUCUGCUACUUCCUCCUCUGGUUUAGAAACAGAUGAAUAUACUGUUUGGAAAUUACAUGAUCGCGCACUUAUGCAGCUUGUUACUGCCACCUUGUCCCCAGUAGCUAUGUCAUGUGCAAUUGGUAGUGCUAGUUCUCGGGAGUUGUGGACUCGGCUUAAGGAACAGUUUUCUACUGUUUCCAAGACCAGUAUUUUUCAGAUGAAGUCCAAUCUUCAAACCAUUAAAAAGGGGUCAGAUUCAGUCACUCGGUAUUUACAGAAGAUCAAAGAAGCAAGGGAUUAUUUGUCUGCUGCUAGUGUGUUUCUUGAUGAUGAAGACAUUAUUAUUUUGGCUCUUAAUGGUUUGCCUCCAGAGUAUAAUACAUUCUGCACGGUUGUUCGAGGCCGAGAAAGUGUUAUGACUAUGAAAGAGUUUCGGACUCAACUCCUUGCUGAAGAAGAAAUUGUUGAUAGUCAUUCUCAUGUUCCUUUUCUGUCUGCGAUGGUUGUCAAUAAUACCUCAUCCCCUGUGCACAAAGGUUCUAAUCAGGCAUUUAACUCUGGCGGUGGUCAUUCCUUUCAUCAUACUGGGGGUCAGUCCUAUGGUGUUUCAGGAGGUUUCAAGCCGUAUGUUCACAAGAACAAAGGGAAGGGCAAGUUCAAUGGAGGUCAGCGAUACUACACUCCUCGGCCAAUGUAUCAUACACAAACCCAUGUCUUCCCUACACCUACUCCUGGUGUUCUUGGUUCGUCGCCCUCAGCACCUCUAUUGCCGACUUGUCAAUUGUGUAAUGCUGAAGGUCACACUGCUCCUUAUUGUUACAAUAAGUCUUCUGAUCGCCAACAGUGUCAAAUCUGUGGCAAGUUCAAUCAUACAACUUGGUAUUGUUUUUACAAUGAAAAAGGGCCUUCCUAUAUGGGACCUCAGUAUUCUCAACGGGCAGGUACUCCAAUGCAGGGAUACUCUUACAAUGUGCCUCAUGUGUUGCAUGGCUCUCACCCCUCUUCCCUGCAAGCAAUGAAUACUGUAUUUUCUCCCACAUCACCAUCUUCUCAUAUGGGCUCUGUGGCAUCUACUUCUCAAUCACCACAAGUCUGGUUGACAGAUUCCGGUGCUACUACACAUAUGACAGCUGAUCUUAACAAUUUGUCCUUAGCUUCUCCAUAUCCUAGCAAUGAAGUUGUUCAAACUGCCAAUGGUGAAGGUUUGCGAGUUUCUCACAUUGGCAGUUCUAUUCUUAACACUUCUAAAAAUCCUAUCACAUUAAAUUCCAUUCUCUAUGUUCCUAAAUUGACACAGAAUUUAUUGUCAGUUCAUAAGUUGUGUUUGGACAACAAUUGCUGGCUAAUCUUUGAUGCAUUUUACUUCUGGAUUCAGGACAAGGUCACAGGGAGAAUCAUGUACAAGGCCCCGUGCAGUAAUGGACUCUAUCCUAUCCACUCACUCUCUACUAGCUUCCUACCUUCUCAAUCUUCACAUGUUGCUUUUCUUGGACAUCUUGUUGGUUCCAGUCUAUGGCAUACUAGGUUCGGACAUCCAUCCAAUAAUGUAGUUUCUUUACUUCUUAAACAAGCAAAUAUUCCAUGUAAUCAGGAUGUUGUCUCUCAUAUGUGUCAAAGUUGUCUCAAGGGUAAAUUCACACAGUUACCAUUUCCUUCCACUCAUGUCAAGUCUGUCAUACCAUUUCAAAUUGUUCACAGUGACCUUUGGGGUCCUGCACCAUGUACAUCCAUUGAUGGCUAUAAAUACUAUGUUACUCUCAUUGAUGAGUGCACUCGGUUUUGUUGGUUGUUUCCCUUAUCCAGUAAAUCUGAUUUCACUGAUGUUUUUGUUACCUUUUGUGCAUUUGUCUCCACUCAAUUCUCUACUUCUGUGAAAAUACUACAAACUGAUGGGGGGUGAAUAUAUUAGUAAUAAGCUCCACACUUUUCUGAAAUCCAAAGGUAUUGUACAUCAUAAAUCUUGUCCUUAUACACCUGAACAUAAUGGAUUAGCUGAGAGGAAACAUAGGCAUAUCAUUGAAACUACUGUCACUUUGUUACAACAUGCCACACUGCCUUCUCAAUUCUGGACCUUUGCUUGUCAAACAGCAAUUUACUUAAUCAAUAGGAUGCCAACUCCAGUUUUACAGAAUCAAUCUCCUUUUCAAGUUUUGUAUGGUCAAAAUCCUGUCAUUACUCACCUCCGUGUCUUUGGUUGUUCUUGCUAUCCUUUACUUAGACCCUACAACACUUCCAAACUUCAAGCUAAGACCACCAAGUGUGUUUUUCUGGGGUAUGCUUCCCAAUAUAAGGGUUAUAUUUGUUAUGAGGUGUCCAAAGCCAAGUUUUUUAUCUCCAGACAUGUUAUCUUUAAUGAGACUGAAUUUCCUUAUCUUAGUCUUCUUCAAUUGUCCAAACAAAAUAGUGUGUCCCAUGUCCCUUGUUCACCUUCAUCUUUUACACAUGUUCCUAACCAUCAGAAUGUUUUGGUGGUGCCUCUUCCUCUGGUUUCUUCCUUAACCUUUCCACCUGUCCCUCCAUCCCCUGACUCUAGUGUUGCUGUUCAUUCUCCACAUAUGGUUGCUUCACCUCCAUUUUCCUCCUUACCUUCUUCUUCAUCCAUUACUGCUCCAUCAAGUACUACUCCUUCUCUCCCUGUGGAUCAUGAGUUCAGCCCUGAUCGGUUACAAGUGGUGUUACCUAUUGCACCAUUGAAUAUGCAUCCUAUGCAGACCAGGAGUAAAAAUGGUAUAGUCAAACCCAAGGUGUUUUUCAGUUCUUUAGCGCCAUCUGGAGAUGUUGAUAUGUCUCUCAUUGAGCCAGUUUCUUAUAAGACCGCUAAGAAAUCCUCUGUGUGGUUGGCUGCUAUGAAGGAAGAGAUUGCUGCCCUGCACUCUCAAGGUACUUGGUCUCUUGUAUCUCUGCCCUCUCAGAAAAACUUAGUCGGCUGUAAAUGGAUCUUUAAAAUAAAGAAGAACUCAGAUGGUUCUAUUGCAAGACAUAAAGCUCGCUUAGUUGCAAAGGGCUUCAGUCAAGAGGAAGGAUUAGACUAUGGGGAGACAUUCAGUCCAGUGGUUAAGCCUACCACAGUAAGGCUUGUCCUGGCCUUAGCUGCUCAGUUUCAUUGGUCUUUACGGCAGCUUGAUGUCAAGAAUGCAUUUUUGCAUGGCAUACUGCAGGAGGAGGUUUACAUGGCACAACCUCCUGGUUUUGCAGACCCUGUGCAUCCUCAUUUUGUUUGCAAGUUACAUAAAUCUCAGUAUGGAUUGAAGCAAGCCCCCCGGGCCUGGAAUGAGAGAUUCACAGCUUUCCUUCCUUCUCUCGGGUUCAUCUCCACCUAUUCUGAUUCGUCUCUAUUUGUGAAGCAUGUUGGUUCUGAGAUAGUGAUUUUACUGCUUUACGUAGAUGACAUUAUCUUAACAGGGAAUGCUACAGCUGCUAUACAACAGGUCAUCCAGUCCCUUACUACUGAGUUUGACAUCAAGGAUUUGGGCACACUUCAUUAUUUUUUGGGCAUUCAAAUAUCCUGCACAGCAACCGGGAUGUUUUUAUCACAAACCAAGUACAUUCAAGACUUGUUACACAAGACUGAAAUGAGUGAUUGCAAACCGUGUGACACUUCAUGCUUACCUUAUAAUCGUUUACUGAAGGAUGAUGGAGUUCCAUUUUCAGAACCUGGGACAUACAGGAGUAUCGUUGGUGCCCUGCAGUACCUCACUUUCACUCGUCCUGACAUUGCAUUCUCAGUCCAUCAAGUAUCUCAAUUUCUGCAAACCCCUAUGGUGUCUCACUUCACUGCUGUCAAACGCAUUCUGCGUUAUUUGAAAGGCACCUUGUCUUCUGGCAUUACUUAUGCUGCUGGUGACGUUGGUUUAAAAGCUUUUAGUGAUGCCGACUGGGCUGGUGAUCCGAAUGACAGGCGCUCUACAACUGGGUUCGUUGUUUUCUUGGGCUCCAAUCCCAUCUCGUGGUCUUCUAAGAAACAACAAACAGUUUCUCGUUCGUCAACUGAAGCCGAAUAUCGAGCCAUGUCCUCCACUGCUGCUGAACUUGAUUGGAUUCAGCAACUUCUUACAUUCCUACACAUUCCUCUGUCUUGUGCUCCUGUGCUUUUCUGUGAUAACCUGUCCGCCAUUGCUCUUUCGUUCAAUCCCGUUCAACAUCAACGGACCAAGCAUAUUGAAAUUGAUGUUCAUUUUGUUCGUGAACGGAUUGCUCAAAAGAAGUUACUUGUGCAGUUUGUAUCUUCCGGAGAGCAGUUUGCCGAUAUCCUUACCAAAGGUCUUAGUGCUCCUCUCUUUCGGACUCAUUGUACCAAUCUCAUGCUUGGUUCUUCUCCCAUGCAUGAGUUUGAGGGGGGAUGUUAGAGAUAAUGUACACAUAGGAUGGUGACACUUGUAAACAGAUUAAGAGAGUUAGUUAUAGUUGUUAAGAAUAUGCAAAUGUAAGUAGGGUGUAGUAUAUAUACUCUUAUAGUGUAAUAGCUUGGUGAUUAAGAAAAGAAAUAGAAAUAUCUUUCUCUCUCUAUGAAUCUCUUUCUCUGACUUCUCUCUCUAAGAUUACUGUCUGUGAUUCUCUUCUUCUUAGUUUACAAACAAUACUCUUCUUGUUGAUAAUGAUAUUGUAGUUAACUUCUUUACAUCCACGUUUAAUCAAAUUUCGUAAUUAAAUAAGUCAAUUUCGUGGGUAAGUACCCUAAAAAGCUGUUGUGUCACUGGUACUAUUUUGAUUAGGGCAAAAUGUUCCACAUCCAUCACAUAAGUUGAAAAAGAGAAAUCACGAUUCAGAAACCAACUCACAGUACAAUAAUUUUUUUUUAUAGACAUUCUUUAGGGGCACGGUUAAUUUUGAUUCAUUUUACUGCCAACAAAAGUUAAAUUUGAAGAGAGAAAAGGGAAGAAAAAUUGACAAAACCUGGCCAAGUUGAUCAACAGAUUUCAGAAUUUGGCAUUCACCACUAUAAAUUUCAUGCAGUUGUUGGUAGAUUCGGUUAAUGCAAAUACAUAUCUAGGAAUAAGAAUUAGGGUUUCUUCCUACUAGCUAAGCAAUACCAAUAGGAAGACAAUCUUUUUUUGUCAGAUAUACUGCAUCAGUAGAGUCUUCUGGAAAAAUGAAAAAACGUGGUGGUGUUUUACAGGAGUGAAGGAGGGAGUGGUAUUGCACGUGGGUUAGGACCACCAGACAAAAUUGUCUCUAAAUUAUUUAUUAAAAAAAAAAAAAAAAAAAAAAACCCUUAAACUCUUAAAAAUUAUCAAUUUCAUUCCUUGCUUUGAAACUCUUAUUGUCACUCGAGUAAUAAUUUAAAGACUAAAUCAGCAGUUUACCUAGUUAUGUAUGAUACCCCUUUGGAUUCGUUCUUUAAUUUAAAUUUUUGAAAAAAAAAAUUUAGGCUUGUUUAAUAAUCAUUUAGUCUUUACCUCAUAAAAAAAAAAUCAUUUGGUUUUUUGUUUUUGGUUUUCAUUUGUUGUGUCAGUUAUAAAAAUUGAAAUACAUAGAUAAAAUGAUGGAUGAAAAAGAGUGGAUAUAGGGGAUGAUACAAAGAAAGACAAAAUAAAAUGUAAAUUAAAAAGAUAUAUAAAAUUGUUUUCAUUUUUUAAGAUUUUGUUUUUAUCCAUUCUUCUUCAUCUUUUCCCUCUUCCAUCACUUUUCGUGAUCUCUCCUUUUCAUUAUAUAAAACGCAAAAAGAGAAAAUCUAAAAUCCAAAAAUGAGAUAAUUAUCAAACAGGUCCUAAGAUUUUGAAUAAUUGAUUUGAGCAUCUGUAGUAUUUGCAGUGCCCAACCAUAGAUAACUCACUUUAGUGAAAGCAAUUGAAACAUCUUAAGCAGAAAUCGUACAUCAGUUACCAUUUUAGUAGUUCAGUCCUCCAUGAGCAAGGACUUUCAAAGCAAUCGAAUCAACCACCAAUCAUUUUCUCAAGUCAAGUAAUAUCCAAAAAUAAUAAUAAAAAAUAAAAAAUAUCAGUACAAUUUAUUAUAGUUUUGCAUACAUGGGAUGGGAUGUUUACUACUAGUAUAGUUUAAAAUAGAGCUUAUCAAGAUUUUAGACUAAUUUAUGUAAAAGUAUUCAAUUAUUUCCAUUACGUCUUCUUCUUAGACGUCUUCCAUAAAAAAAUUAUAGUGAUUAUAUAUCUUAAAUUGACAUCGACAAGUACACGAAGGUUUCUAUAUUAUUAUUAAGGGGAGGAUUUGAAACUAUUACAAUAAUUUAAGGGAUCAUAGGCAAUUUUGAACUCGAGAAGCAUGGGUGGAAAUCCAACACCCUUUCGCUAGGAUAUUGGACCACAUGCAAAGGUUUGUAUAUAUUCAAUUUGCAGACUUAUAUAGCUUGAAUGUUAACUAGCUAAUCAAUUUGUUAAGAGCGAUCAUACAACAAAGUUGUUCGAAGUCCAGAUUAGUACUUUGGAUUCUGCUCCCACUCCCACUCAAGGACAUGGGAUAGUUUGAUGAGUGGUUGCUACGCUCUUCUUUUUACCUUUACUUAAGAAAAAUUAAGAGACAUAACUAAGUAGAGAGUACAUAAAAUCAAAAGAGAGUGCGGAAAUCACUUUCUAGACUUUCUAGUACCGUUAGUAAACGAUGAAAAGAAAUCCAACAGUUGGGGUGCAGCGAAGUAGUGUUGUAUAACUGUUGGGUUCAUUGGUUGUCUUGCUUUUAACUGCAGACAAAAAAAAGAUGAUUGCUCCUUUCCUUGGUAUGUUUGUUUUUGAGUGAAACUUUGUGAUCUCAUGAUGGGAAUAUUGCCAUACGGUUCAAUCUCUUCCAGUUCCAAAGAUUCCAUAUGUGUACGUACGUAUGCAUGCAUGAUUGAUUCUUGAAAAAGGUUUUGAUAGCGCUGUUUAUGUUUAUUUUUUUAUUUAAUCAAAAUUAACAUGACUAAUCAAAUGAUGAUCAACGCAUCAUUAACAAAGAAAUGUAACGUGCCGUGCCCGAAGAAGGUUAAGGUGACAAGAAAGCCACCAUGCAAUCUUCAAAAUACAAUUCCUAAAUUACGUUUUCAUAACAAAUGAUGAUCAAUGUAAAAUGACUCGUUUGGAAUGUUAACAACAAAGCAAUGAGGACAAACCUAUCACUCUUUCAUAUGUUAUAUAAUGGGUUACGCUAUUCACAUACCCUAUUUUACUUUCCUCACCUCCUAUUAAUUUUCGACCGUCAGAUCGUAUGAAUUGAAAAAGUCAAAUGACAUAAAUUAAUUAGAGGUGUGUGGGAAGUAAAAAUUGGAACGUGAACAGAACCACCCUAUAUAAUAUAUCAUAAUUGAGAAUAAUCCCAUGAAUCAUAAUCAUGAACUAGCUAGUUAAACAUACUGUGAUCAUCUUCUGGGAGUUAAAAAGUUCUCUGUGUACUAUAUAAGGAAGCAAGAAGGGGAAGGAAGGAGAGAGAGAGAGAGAGAGAGAGAGAGGAGAGCGAGGGGAAGAGCUAGACUGCUUGCAUUACAAGCGAUCUUGAGGAGCUGAUAUCGAUAUGUGAAUAUGAGGGAACGAUGGAGAGGGGAGCUACCUUCGGUCCAAUUCAGAGGGCUGAGGAGUGGCUAGAGCUGUCAUCUCAUGCAUUUGGCUACUCCCUUAAUAUUAUUUUCCAACCCUAGUAGCCUGCUGCCUGCGCAGCUGUGCAACUCUAUUCAAUUAGCUGUUACAUGGGAGAUGAUAUACUGAAUAUUAAGGGUUCGGCCUGGUGCAUGGUGUGGGAGCAACUCCUUCCGCGCGCUUAGCCCGCCCAUUGGACUGAAGGGAGCUCUGGCCACCACCCGUUUCAUCACGUCGCGUAAACCGAGUCAAGUGCACGAUUUUCUUUUCUUUCUGUUGUCUGCUCUUAAGACUAUAACCAUUCUCAUCACUGUCAUAUUCUCGUCGCUAAUAAUUAAUCAUCGGAUGUCACUUAUACUAUCAUAAUUUUCAUUAAGGUUUGAUGAAUCUGCUUGACAGGAAAGAAGAAAAUCAAUUUGGAGACUUGAAGCUAGCGUGGAUGAUGUGGUUUUACUACAACAGAAAUCCGAACGGUGAUGCGAAAUCCAGGAAAACAAGAACGUGUGCUCCGGACGAGAUUGAACACUUUUCUGGUUUUCUGAUUUUCUUCUUCUGAUCACCGGAGCAUGUUAAACUACUAACACUCUGAAGUACUUAGGAUGGGCAAAUACCUAUUGGUUGCGGUUAUCCGUCCAUUUAAAUUUGACAGUUAUGGGUAUAACUGUUUACCUGUGAAAUUUAAAUAGGCGGUUAUGGUAUUACCGCGGUCAUAAAUGAGAACCUAUUUAACCGUUUAUUCUAAUAUAUGUAAAACUAAAAAAUAAAAAUAAAAAGUUUCUAGCUAAGUUUGGUAUCCCGAGACAUAUUUGGUUAUAAGGGGCCAUAUAAUAUAUAUAUGCCUCACUUGAGAGAAAAGUAUAGUUGAUAGAACAGGCCAAUGUUAACAUAUGUGAUUGAAUGUGCUAAAGCAUUAGAAUGUUCGACAGUUUUAUUUUGGAGUCUUUUGAAGCUUUGGCCAAUUCAAGAUAAUGAUUACCUUAAGAUUUUAGAAAUAUGUUAUUGUCAGCUGAUGCGUGUAUAUAUAUAUAUAUAUAUAUAUACAGAGAGCUUAAGGGGAGGGAUCCCCAUUUUUUCAAAAAAAAUGGGGACACGCUCCCCACCGUUAGAUUGACUUUAAUGAAAUUGUGUGGUUGAGAUUAAAACACAGGCCACAGAAUCUCAACCACAUGAUUUCAUUAAAGUCAAAUCCAACGGUAGGGAGCGUAUCCCCAUUUUUUUUUUAAAAUAGGGAUCCCUCCCCUUAAGCAAUUCCUAUAUAUAUAUAUAUAUAUAUUUAUUUAAUUGGCCUCGGUUUUCAAUAAAUAUUUGACCCAAAAAUUAGAAAUCGAUUAAAUGGCUUGGAUCGAUGAAAAUAUGUUUCUAAAUAAAAAUCUAAAUAUUUAUCAAAUUAGCUUAUUAGCAAACUGAUCCGUACUUACAUAUAUAUAUAUAUAUAUAUAUAUGUAUAUGUAUACAAGAAUAUUAAUUAACCUACAGCCAUGCAUGAUUCUUGUAAUAGAUUGAUUGUCAAAUAAUUGGGAGACAUCACAUAUAUUCAUAAAUAAUAUUGGUGUCAUACAAAAAUACAUGUUAAAUGUACUUAUAACGGUAUUUAAUUGUUAGAAAAAAGAAAAUUAUGACAAAUUUCUUUUUAAAUUUUCAAGUUUUUAAAAAAUAGGUAGACGGGUAAAAAAAAAAAGGGUAAAAAGGUAUGCGGUUAUGGUUAAAUGGAUAUGCUGUUAUGGAUAAAUAGAUAUACGGUUAUAGGUAUGGUUAACCGUUUAUAAAUAGUUAUGGGUAUACCCGUUUAUGUAAAUACCCAACGGGUAAACAAUUAUAUGGGUAAAAAUUUAAACGGUUAUGGGUAAAUAACCGUGGUUACCCACCCGCCAUAACUGUUGCCCAUCGCUAGAAGUACUUGGUAAGUGUCGAGUUACAGCGUUCGAGUUAGAGGAGCAACAAUUACCGGGAGGACCGCAAUAAAAACACAAAUUGUAAUGCUUUGGAGAAUUAGCAACUGUUUUUCCUUAGCACUUGAACAAUGCAAAAGAUUUAUGAUACAUCAUCCAUACAUGACCAAUGACAAAGAAACUUAUUCUUUUAUCUAGGCAGAGGCCUAGUUCAAAUCACCGUCAAUUUUUGGAAGCUAACAAGCAAGAUAAUCUAGUGAAAAGUCGAAGCCUGAAAUCUGGCCGGAAAUCUGUAACGACAAAGAAAAGAUAAGAAUGGUUUCACAAAGUCCGGAGAUGAUAACAGAAUAUCAACAAUGCAAUGAAAUCGUGAUGUAGGUGAUCCCCAACUUCCCCCCAUUUUUCUGCAUUUCACUGCAGCCCAAACUUACCCACCUGCGUGAAGAAAACAUAAUAAGUACACCAAUUAUAACUGCAGACCUCUUCACUUACAUACAACAUUGAACAUAUCACGACACGGAAAUUUUGGACUCCAUGUCAAGCAACAAAGUUCACAAUCCAUGUUAAAUCUGCAUGAAGAGUGAUGCUAGCAAAGCUCAGUAUUCAAGUCAUUCAACAGAUUCGACUUAAAUGUUCAAAACAAAAUGAAGGUUUCAGCAAGACCGCGCAAGCAACCUUCUUAGCUCCAUCACCCAACUCCAAACUCAAAAUCAAAUGAGUAGACUGAGUAGAUUGACAGACUUCAAGAUCAUACCAACAGGCCCGAAUACCAGAAUGCAUUUAUACACAAUAUUCUCAUGCUCUAUGCUUAGAUUGACAGACUUCAAGAUCAUACCAACAGGCCCGAAUACCAGAAUGCAUUUAUACACAAUAUUCUCAUGCUCUAUGCUUUCUCAAGUUGAACCAUUACCAAUUUGUUUACCAUAAUUCUAUUUCCGAAAGUUACUGUAGAUCUACCAAGUUAAAGAUGACUCAACUUGCUCAGACCUUUCAAUGAACUGUCCAAAAACUUAGAAGCUAGCAAAUCCAACACGACACAGAAAGCCGUGCAAAAUGGAUAAAAGACAUUAUAUGCGAAAAAUCAUAAUGGAAAAAAGCCCCACAACGCAAUAAAGGAAGUUGCAGGGGUAAAUCUUCCGAAGUUUGUAGAUUCAUGUCUUUGGUAUAUACAUGUUUAUUACCUGAAUCGAAGUAACCCUCGCCAGGUAGCAAAUAUACAUCAGAAUUGGAUUGAGCAUUCUAUCAAUUUUCAAAAACUCAAACUGAUAAGCAUUUGUUCCAGCUGACAGUCACGAUUCGACUCAAGCCUCAAACUAAGAAACUAAAGACCAUAGCUACACCUACACCUAUUAGGUUUCACAUUUCAGAAAUUGAGUUGUUUCCUAGUGUUUUUUGUCUGAAUAAAACUCCAACCUAAAGCCCUAAAUCAUAUGCCUCACCAGAAUCAAAAAACAAGAACCCGACUCUUAAUUCACAGCGAAAACGAGCAAAUGGAAUCGAAAAGACCCAAUCUUGAACAAAAUUUCACCCCAAAAACUGAACUUUCAAAUCCAAACAAUAAAAAAUUGCAAUCAGAUUAUCAAAUUGGGAGCUCAAAACACAAGAAACAGUACCUGAAACCGAUCACUCGGACUCCACCGGCUCCGGCUUCGGACCUGAAAUUCCCAUAAACAAAAACAAAAUGUCAAUUAAUUGAGAAAACUGACAAACGACGGGAAAGGAUAGGGUACGGUGGCGGACCAUGGAACUCGUAAGGACGGUGGUCCUUCCCCCAACCGAUGCCGCGAGUGGACUCGAGGUACUGGUGGACGAGGUGGCGGCACUUCUGGAGGUGGUUGACGCCUUCGAUGCGGUAGCACCAUCGGAGCUUCUCCCUGAUGAUCUUGGCCUUCUCGAUGUCGAUCCACUUCUCCCGCACCAAGUGCUCCCUCAUCUCAAGCAUCGCCACCGGGUCCUUGUACGGAUUCGCCGGAUCAAAGUCGUCCGGCGGCGACUCGUCGAAGUCCACCACUCCUUUCUUCCGCCCCAUUUUCCUCUCGCACUUCUAGAUUGCUCUCUCCCUCUCUCCCUCUCUCCCUCUGUGUUCUGGCUUUGAUUUUCGGAGCUCUGCAGCUGCUUCAGGUGGUUGAGCUUUUGGGUAUUUGGGCUUACGAUUGAUCAGGCUCUGGUUUUGGGCUCAUCUCCAUUGAUAAAGCACUAGGCCCAUUCAGGAUACUUUUGUAGUAAGAAAACGGGUUUGUCUUCAGUAGUCCGACAUUUUAUUAAUUAGAUUAGCAAGUUGACAAAAAAUAGUGUUUCAAUAAUUCAAUUAUGGCCAACUAUUUCUUGCUACUAAGUAGUUUGGACUAUUGAAGAAAAAUUGGUAAGAAAACAUGUUCACUUCGAAGUGUAUUUCCGUGUUAGUGAUUUGCCCACUCUAUUUUUAUCGCUAAGCAUCUCUUUUUAUUUGAACUUGAGUGCAAGUGAUUAGGUAUACUUCCUUAAUCAACUGGUCUAACAUGCAACUGCCUAAUUAAGACAUGCAACUGCCUAAUUAAGAGAAACAACGGAAAAAAAAAGAGUGCAAAAGAAGAAAUGAGUGUGACAAUCAGUAUUUGUUUCUCCUUCUAAUAGGCUUAAAAUUUGUGUGAUGGUUCAAGAGCAACUCAAAAUAUUAUUCAUAUCUUUCUUCGUCAUUUGAGAUACACAAAAUGUUAUGGCCAAAGCCGUUUAUCUAGCAUCCAAGUGCUUCCUAAAGCAACUCCUAGAUCGAGUACUUCACCAAAAAACACUUAUAUGACCCAAAAAAAAUUGUAGUAAAAAAUAAUUCUAGUUGUCAAAAAAACUAUUUUUAACUACAGUUGGGCACGGGCCGGGUUGGGCCUAAAUCUGGAGGAACCUGUUUUAAAAUGUAACGGGCCGCAUGGGCCGGUUAGAGGGAUUUUGAGUUUGAGAACCAGACCUAACCCCACCUGUUAGAAAUGGGCCGGUUUGGGGCAGGUCCAUGAGUCCAAUUACUUUAUUUUUAUUUAUUUAUUUUUUCCGGUUUUGGGCAUACUACCAGUGUCUUUUUUCUUUCUCCUCUUCACAUCAUCUCCAUUCUCUCCUCUUCCCCUCUUCCAAAUAAAAAACUGAAGCAAUCACCAUUUCUCGAUAAUUGCAUCACCUGGGCCUUUACCAUCGUCGUUGUCUUCAACAUUAAUUGUCUCUCUGUCUGCAACUUCUGUCUUCUCUCUAUUUGCAAUUUUAAUCAGCUUCAACGUCAUCGUUUCACGAUUCGAUGACAGGUAUCCACCUUUUCCCAAUCUUUGACUCCUUCGCACUUUCUUGUAUUUAGUUCAUCAGAUCUAAUGGUUUCUCAACUUGCAGGUGUUGAGAGGCAGCGGAUCCAAGAUAUUGUCAACAUCUUGGACUUGGGACUUGGGAUAGAAGGAGAAGGAGUCGAAGAGGCUUUCAAGUUGGGAACUAAAAUGGCUUAUUAAAGAAGGUUAGGAAGACGGGGUUUGUGGACUAGAGGUCGUUUUGGUGAAUUGAUGAUGGUUUGAGUUAAGUGAUGUCGUCGAGGAGAGGAGUGGGAAAAGAUUAGCCGAGUGGGAGGUGGGAGAGGAAGGAGAGACUAGGUCACUUAGAGAAACAAGUCCAAUCCAACGAGUGCGAUUGGAUUGAAGAUUGUUGAUCAUUCCAUUUUAGAAACGGGUUGGUUCGAGGCCCCGUGAUUUUAAAGAUUUAGACCCGGCUUCGCCAUGUAAAUACCACCACCCCGCCCCGCCCCGCCCCACCUCGCCCCAUUUCUUCUAUAAAAAAAUAAGACCCGCCCCAUACCCGCGUAUACCAGUCCUGACCCGUAGGUCCUUGACCUGUUUGCCCGCCCCUACUUUUAACCCUUCCAAACGCAAUACCAAACAGAUCCUUAACUCACAGGCCUACUAAUUUCAUGGGCCAGGGAUGGAUUUGGGCCAUGGAAUUGAAAAUUCAAGACCAAUUUCAACCUGACAUCGACGACCACCAAUAGGUAGCACAGAAGACGGAGGGGUGGAAGACAGGUGGCAGAAACCCAUCUGAUGGAAUUAGAGACGUAGAGCUGAGAGAGUUGUGCUCCUAAUUUCGCGCACUAGUUCUUACCUCUCAUGGAAGAUCAACGGUGCACGGAAACUACGAGGAAACCAAAAUACACCAAACAAUAAACAUCUGAACAAGACAUGAUUAAAAGUAAAAAUAAUUAAAGUAAAUGAUAAAAAAAAAAAAAAAUUGGUCUAACCUUAAUCAACGCCGCAUUAGCUUGUCGUCUCUUUGAGUUUUCUCAGGUGGGACUCUCUGUCUUUUCUUUAAUUCACAUUUUCCUGGAUUUCCUUCGCUGCAUUUUGAUCAUGAUGAUCAACAUUUGUUCAUGUGUGUAUGAAUAGUUACGGCCCGUUUGAUGACCAUUUUGUUUUUAGGUUUCGUAUGAAUAGCUCAAGGCAUGCAGCGUGCUUGGUAACCUUUUCGUUUUUAGAUUCAUAUGUAUAGCUAAAAUGGUUUGUUUGAUAACCAUUUUGAUUUUCGUAACCAAUUGUUGAAUGAUUAUGGGAUUCUAAGUCAAGUUAUAUGCUUCUGGGUUGUUCCAUUUUCCGCUCUCUUUACAUGCUUACAUACGUUCUCUUGUAGCUAGUGUGAAGCUCGGGCAAAUUGUCUCUCACAUUUUGUUUUUGCUUUUUUUUUAUUUUUAUUUUUUAUAUUUUUUAUAUCCGAUUUUCGAAGUUCUAACCAGAUGUUCAUAAGUUUUUCUUUUCUUUUGUGUGUGUGUAUAUGAUUGCUGGUGCAACCCCAGCUUAAUCUUCAUCCCCUUUCGUUUGGAACUCGAUAGCAUUUCUCCUACGUGUUUGUUUCUUCGAGAGAUUGUUUGUUCACUUUACGCAGUUCAUUGUUAGUACCCUUACAUCAUUAACGCGUUUCUAACUCGCAGGGUUACUCUUUUUCAACAGAUGAUUAAUGUUUUUUAGCAUGAGUUUAUAGUUAAGCUCCAAAGCUAGACGCCACUCCAAGUAGCUGAUCAUGGAUUCCACAUCAAAUUACAGCAGAAAAGAAAAUGUAGGAGCCAGCAGCCCAAGUGUUCCUGCUACAGGGAAUAGUUUCGAACAAGUUGUAAAUCGUAAUGGUGAGACUGAAGGUGAGGAAAUCUAGCCAUCUCCAUUUGUUCCUGAUAUACUCUCCAAUGCGAGUCAAUGAUCUUAAAUUUUUCCCCGUUUUGGAAUUUUAUUUUGCAGGGAAGCGGAGAGCGUACUUAGUAGAGUGGUUAAAUAGUUUAGUUCCUAAUCUAGGUUUACCAACAAAUGCUUCAUACGAGGACUUGCGAUCGUGCUUGAUCGAUGGUACCGUUUUAUGUCUGAUGUUGAAUAGGCUUAGACCUGGUCUUGUUGAUAAGGUUAGUUGAUAACUUGAUAGGCUUUCCGCGGCCCUUUUUUACUUGAAGAGUUAUUCGACAAGUUGGUGAUCGAAUGUCUCGUUUUGUAACUUCAACGUUCAUAGAAUUCGAUGUCACCCUCAGAAAAUGUUGCAAGGUUUCUGGCAGCUAUGGAUGCAUUAGGGCUGCCGAAGUUUGAUAUGUCCGACCUAGAGAAGGUAUCUGUCGAUGUAAUUUGUAUGCAUACAGCUCCCCUAUCAAAUUAAACAAUUUCUAUACGUUCGCUGACAUUCAAAUAUUAUCCAGGGGUCUAUGAAGACUGUCACAAACUGUCUUUUAACACUUAAAGCAAAACUUAUGCCAAAUGUUAUGGGAGAUGGUAUUACUAUAACUAGUCCGACGACUAAAUCUGGCAGCCAACCUUCCCGCUUCCAGCUUUCUCAAUUAUCUGUAGAUGAGAGGCGGAAGGUCCUGUCUGAGUCAAAAUUUCAGCGCGCAUUGCAUAGUCCUGUUAUGGCAGGUCUGGCCAUUGUGUUGUACAUAUCAAACUUUAUUUUUGACAAUACACUUGUGUUUGUUUAGUUGAUUAACUUUUACAUGAUGUUUUCGUCAUUCAAACAGUGGGUUUGACGCAAAUUUACCUUCAGCAGAGACAUCGCCUUCACGAAUGCAUCAUGUUGGGCAUAAGUUCCAUGAGGUGUUGCAGUUGAAGCAAGGAAGCUACGCGGAUCUUCCUGCUGCAAAAAUUUCAGAAAUGAUGAAACCGAACAGUUUAGAUGUCAGUCAUCAAUGGACCCUGAAACUGAAUCAGGUUUUCCUUUUGUGAUCUCUUCAGUUUAAUGUAUUUUUAAUGCACUUCAGCAUCUCUUGCUGCAGAACGCUCCAACGCAGUCACUUUUGAGUGUCGUAAAUGGAAUCCUCGAUGAAGGUGUUGAAAGAAAGAAUGGUGAAAUACCUCAUGUAUGGAAAUCCGAAAGCAAAUGAUUGUUAAAAAAAUAAGUUCAUCACGUACAAUAUUCAAGAAAUAUGGAGUUUGAAAAUCUGCUCUUACACAUUGCGUUUGUGGCACAGCGUGUGUCUUGCCUUCUGCGAAGAGUUGUCCAGGAGAUUGAGCGGCGAAUAUCAACUCAGGCGGAGCAUUUAAGAACUGUAAUAUGCUUUUAUGAGUACUUACCACCGAUAGCCUUAUUAAGAAGUGCUUUGCGUUAAUUUUUUUUUAUGGUUUCGUGCAGCAAAACAACCUUUUUAAGGCUCGUGAAGAGAAAUACCAGUCAAGAAUCAGAGUACUUGAAACACUUGCAUCCGGAACCAGUGAGGAAAGUGAGGUAUGAAACAUUUUUCGGAAGAUUAGAUCAGGAGUUGACAGCUUCUCGUAAACAUGUUUCAAUGUGGUACCGAUGUCUUAUUUUCAAAGUGUGAAUUUUCUGGUACAGCUUAUGAUGAACCAUCUUCAGCAAAUAAAGGUAUAUUUUGCAGACAAUAAAAAGCAUAUUGCUGGUGUUUAGGUGUUUAAGCAGUGAAAGAAUACGUAUAAUUUUACUUGCAAACUGCGGUUACGAGGAUUUGCUCAUUAUAUAAGUUUAUGAAUAUGAUUAAGUGGGAAUGUUUACAAUUGGCAGAGUGAGAGAACCCGAAUGGAAGCAAAGAAGAAAACCGAUGGCGAGGAUGUGAAUGUGAUCAGAUUGAUGAAAGAGAGGGAUCAAGGCAACCUUGAAAUUUCAGGAUUGAAGCAAGAGUUGGAUAUAGCAAAAAAGACAUAUGACCUGCGUUGCUUGCAAAUGGAAAUGGAAGAGAAGGGUGCUAGAACGGAGCUUGAAGAGAGGAUAAAAGAACUCGAACGUCUCUUGGCAGAGUCAAGGAGUAAGGUGAAAGAGCUCCAGGCAAAUUCUGAGUCAAAACAUCAGUCUAAUAGAGCAGAACUUGAAGAGAGAGUAAAAGAACUUGAACGUUCUUUGGAAGAAUCAAGGAAUAAAGUGAAAGAACUCGAGGCAAGUUCCGAGUCCAAAUAUCAAUUUUCUAAAGUAGAGCUUGAAGGGAGAAUAAAAGAACUUGAACGCCUCUUGGCAGAUUCAAGGAAUGAGGCGAAGCAGCUUGCAACGAAUUCAGAGUCAAAAUAUAAAAGUUGGAGCAAGAAACUGCGUGAUUACGAGAACUCUAUGGACCUUCAACUUGGUUCACUAAAGGUAUCUUUAGAUCAAAUUGUAUUUUCAGCUUUAAUGUAUAUGAUGAAUAGUACGCAUUUCAAAUCAAUUUAUGAAAUAUUCAGGAAUUAAGAUUAUCUUCGGAGUUCAUUAAGCAAGAAGUUUUGACGGCAGAACACAGUUACGCGGUGGACUUCAAUCACUUAGGUAGGGUUGUCUAUUGGAAGCAUUCGUCUGUUUCGUGCAGUUUGUGCUAGAAGAGUUUCAUGCUUUAUAACUUUGUUUUCCAGGAGUGAAACUUCAAGCAUUAGCAGACGCGUCUGAGAACUAUCAUGCACUUCUCGCUGAAAACAGGAAGUUAUUUAACGAAAUUCAGGAUUUAAGAGGUGCUACAAAAUAAAUUAGCGUUACUGUGGUUACAUCUUACGGAAAAUAUUAGAGUUCACUUCUUAACUUUCUUGCACAGGAAACAUCAGAGUUUACUGUCGAAUAAGACCAUUUCUUCCUGGAGAAAAAGAAAAGAAGACGUUGGUAGAACGUAUUGGUGAAAAUGGGGAACUGGUAGUUGCAGACCGCUCCAAACCAGGGAAGGAGGGUCAUCGAUUGUUCAAGUUUAACGAGGUCUAUGGUUCAGAUGCAAGUCAAGGUUCUCUAUUUUGUGUCUGUAAUGUUGGAUACAUAUUUUUCGAUUCAUCUGUUCGUUCUCCUCGAAAAUGAUUCUUCUUGAAUUGAACAUGAUUGUACAGUGACAUACAUUACUAUGCUGAACUUUGAGCAAUUUAUUUAACUGUGGCAGGCGAAGUAUACGCUGACACACAACCAUUGAUACGAUCUGUGCUUGAUGGAUAUAAUGUAUGUAUUUUUGCUUACGGUCAAACAGGAUCCGGGAAAACAUACACGAUGGUAUGGAACAUAUUUAUAUCCUAAUUUUCAGCACAGAACGAUAAUUUGAAAAAUGCUGAUUUGUUGAUGUUUUAUGUCUGUUGUUUCCUCUCAGACUGGUCCUAAUGGAUCAACUAAAGAGAACUGGGGAAUCAACUACCGUGCCUUGAAUGACCUUUUCGACAUCUCUCAACGUAGAAAAAGCUCCAUUACAUAUGAAAUUCGAGUCCAAAUGGUUGAAAUAUACAACGAACAAGUGCACGAUUUGCUAUCCAGCGAUGGUGCUCAGAAGAAAUAUCCUUGUCGUUAUGAAAUGCGCUUCCUAUUGUGUUGUCUGAGUUAGUUUUGGUAACAGUCUUUUGUUUGCCUUGACUUGCACACACUUGGGAUUAUGACUCACUCUCAACCCAACGGGCUAGCUGUGCCAGAUGCUAGCAUGCACCCCGUGGAAGCAACCUCAGAUGUAAUAAGAUUGAUGGGAAUCGGGUUUAAGAACCGAGCUGUUGGUGCCACUGCGUUAAACGAAAGAAGUAGUCGCUCUCAUAGGUUUGUACAUUUCAUCUUCGUAAAACUUCAUCCCGUAUAUAUCUACAUGUUAUACAUUUUCUGGUGUGUUUGAUUUACGCAUGAAUGUCUAUGUACAGUGUUGUUACAGUUCAUGUACGUGGGAAGGAUUUGAAGACUGGUUCCGCAUUGAUUGGUAACCUUCAUCUUGUAGAUCUCGCGGGAAGUGAAAGAGUGGACCGUUCGGAGGUAACAGGAGACAGGCUCAAGGAAGCACAACAUAUAAACAAAUCAUUGUCUUCGCUCGGAGAUGUCAUAUUUGCUCUCGCACAAAAGAGCCCUCAUGUACCUUACAGAAACAGCAAGCUCACUCAAGUCCUUCAAAGCUCUCUCGGUACCUCUUCGCUAGUUAGUUUCGUUGUUGUGCGAAGUUUUGUCAGAUAUGUAGCAAUGCUAGAAUUUUUACGGUGUUUUCCAACAGGUGGGCAAGCGAAAACGCUAAUGUUUGUGCAGCUAAAUCCCGAUGCGAGUUCAUUUUCCGAAAGUUUAAGUACUCUAAAGUUUGCUGAGAGGGUUGCCGGAGUUGAGUUGGGAGCUGCGAAAAGCAACAAAGAGGGCCGGGAUGUAAGGGAAUUAAUGGAACAGGUUCUCAUUAUAUAUAACAUAUACAUAUGCUUGGGAAAAAUAUGUACAAAUAAUGUUCUACAAACAAAAUGUUGUUUCUAAAUUUCUCUUGCCUCUGCAGGUAGCGUCCCUCAAAGACACGAUUGCUAAGAAGGACGGCGAGAUUGAGCGAUUGCAAUUACUUGAUGGCCACAGUGAGAAGCGUGGGACGAGCUCAUUUAGGUAUGAAUCUUCGCAGCCAAGCAGAGUUUCUAGAGGUGGGAAGUGAAACCAAACACCGUUAAGUGGCGGGAUGAAGGCUUAGGGCUUAAGGCAGCUUCUGAUCCUGAAAACUGUGUUCUUGUACAGUAUCAUAAGCUCCAAAAGUCCAUGCAGGACAUUAAACAACAAAAUGAUUUUCUUCGGCAAUCAUCAAAGGUUGCCGGAAGUGAUGACAUAGGUCAGAAUAAACAUGCAGAUCAUGCUGAGUACUUGGCAUCUGGAGAUGCAGAUUCUGAGGGGAAAUUAAGUGACUUAUCUGACGGUGGUCUUUCUACUGGAACAGAAACUGAUGGCUCUGCAUGAAUUAUCCCGAAAGCACGAAAUCCGUUCCCUUGUAAAGGUGGGCAUUACUUACAUUGAAUCUAAUGCGUUAUCCAGACACACCAACAAGGCCUAUAUGUAACGGCAUUGGUGAUACCUACCAAUGACUCAUAUUCUGCAGGCCUAAAAGGAUUAGUAGGAUUCCGCGACCCUCGCUAAAACCAGGAACAACUUCUUCACCUUCGGCAUCAGGAUCAACGAGCGCUGUGAAGGUGCCAUCAGGUACGUGAAAAUAGAGCUCUCUGCACCAAUUAUUACUUCAGUUUGCCUUCUACUUAUCAGCAGUAUUACGUCUCUCAACAAUUCACAAUCACUUUGUGCAGGUAUGAGAAAAAGUAGCAGUUCUUCGUCACUGAAGCCGGCUGCAAACAGUUGGAAAUAAUUAGAACUCAGUCACUACAAGAAUUUCUCCACUAAUUUUUUUGAUAUACAUGUACAGAGUUUUCUUAGUUGCAAUUUUCUGAAAAUUUUAACAGCUCCUACCCCUAGCUUUCUAAUUACUCAAACCCUUUGUUGUGUGAGCUCUACUGCAAUUAUGCAAUGUAUACAAUUAAACCAACGAGCCUUGUGUAUAAUCUUUAUCCGAAACACAAAUCUUAUCAUUAAAUUACAGUCAAAUUAAUCUUUGAAGCGCAACUCAUAUCAUUAAAUUACGGUCAUAUUAAUCUUUAUCCAAAGCACAAAUCUUCAUCUGAAGCAUCACAUUUAAGCAUUUCAAGACCCGUUAUAUUGUUUCACUUUACAGCCAUGUAAUAAUAUAACUGUAAAGCGAAAACACCAAUUGAUAUAGUAACUAUUUUCCACACAGUAUAUUUUUCCGUAUUUUACUAGGAUUAGAAUACAUGUUUAAAGCCAAUGCUCUCUUUGAUAAUUUUACAUUAUAACCACAUACCUUCAUCACUGCAAAAUUUGUAUCGUUCCACUGUGACUCCAUCUACUGUUGCUUGUGCUAGCGCCACAUUUUCAUAGUUGUUUAUAGAUUCCUUAAUUGCACUUUCCAGCAAAGUAACUUCUCCCACAGUUAUCUCACCCCAAGGCAAGCCCAGUCUCGAGAGAUUUUUCAAUAUGAUUGGUCGGGUUGAUACACUACAUGUCACUAUACAAAUGAUGAGAUAUGUGUGCUAAAAUGUUAUAUUCCACCGUUUCUAUUAAAACAUGUGGUGUACCAUUUGUAUUUCCGUCACAAUGAAAAAUUUCUUGCCCAGCCUCAUCACUAAUAUUAGAACUUGUUCCAAUUGCAAAUCCCAAGUUAGAGAUCGUAUCCAAGGCUGAGAUCGAAUACAUUCAACCUCCGGGCUUAGAAUUGCUAGACCUAUCUAAUUCCUUGAAGUUGACAUAUCUGCCAUGGUUUCAAGUAUCAAGUCUCCACCUGGUAAUUGAUCACAAAGAUUGAACAUUAGAAGACCCUCGUACCGUAAAUCAGUUUGAGAGCUAAUUUCUUGAAUUGCUUGUAGUCUCAGAAUUCAAAGUCAUUGGCUUUGAAAGUGCUUCAUCCUUUUUUAUCCCCUUGAUCUGGUAUUUAUUUAUAAAUCGAUGAACGUAUAAGAUCUCCCAUAUGAUUGCUAGCCAAUAAUCACGAGGAUUUUUGUCGGUAACCUCAGACCAAUCAAAAUCAAUAUCAAUCGACCCCUUCAGCUCAGGAAACUCUAUUAUACCUGAUUCUGAUCUAAAGAAAAAACACUACUGAAAGUUGAUAAUCAAGUUAUAAAAAGAAGACUUUCUUUAAUAGCUACAUGGCAGAACAAGUGUAGAGACUACAACACUAAUAAGUAAGAAAAAAGCACAAAACAUGUCUGAUUAAAAAGAAGAGUUUUAACAAAACACUCUCGGUACUGUUCACUUUUAAUGAAAAACCAUAUUUUUACCUUUAACUGGCACUAUUCACUAUACCUUUAAAAAAAGAUUUUCGUUAAAAGAGAAUUUUUUUUGGACUUUUCGUUAGUUUUCCUUAAAAAGAAUGUAACAUAAGAUUAGAGAUUGUAUAAUUUAUAUAGAGUACUGAUAGGAAUAUCUAAAAAUAUACAAUAUAAGAAUAAGCUUCUAAGGAAAAAGAUGAAACAAUACCUACUUUAGUACAUAGGCUGCUCUCUUCGACCGAAGGAACGCUAUAUAGGCUGCUCACUUUGGAAUUUUUGUUCAUCAAAACCUCAAUACCCCCAUCACUUUAGUACAUUCAAUCAGAAUGGCAUUUUAUAUUAGUAAAUGUAUACUCUUUCAAUAUAUUAUGAAUUCACAUAUCAUAAGUUCACAAUGAAAUUCAAAAACUACAACAAUCAGAAUCACUUGCUAAUCGAAAUCCCAACAAGCAAAUUUUAGUCAAUAAAGUUCACCCCUUCAGUCUAUUAAGAUUUCAACAAUCAUAAGUUCAAAGCAAAAUCCAGAAAUGUUAGAUCCCAUAUCGUCCAGGGAGUGGAUCCUCUAUGCCUUAUAUGUACAUGCUCAUCUCCAUAUACCACGAGAUCUUUUGGGAGCUCACUGCGUCGGAACUCCAAAGUUAAGCGAGAAAGGGGCCAGAGCAUUUCCAAGAUGGGUGACCCACUAGGAAGUUCUACUCGCGUGAGUUCCCAUUAACAAAACCUUGAGGGUGUGGUUGGGGCCUAAAGCGGACAAUAUCGUGCUACGGCAGAGGGGGCCCGGGCCGGGAUGUGACAAGAAACUUAAACAAAUUAACACACCAGCAAGUUCACAAAACCACCCAAUAAAAAAAUUACAAUUUGAAAACCCAACCACCAAAUUGAGGGUUUAGGGAUACUUAUUGUUUCGUAUAUAUUGUAAAAAGGUUGCUUUGUUAGCAAACAGUGACUCUGUGGCCCAAUGGAUAAGGCGCUGGUCUACGAAACCAGAGAUUCUGGGUUCGAUCCCCAGCAGAGUCGUGUUGUUGUUUUUGAACUUUUUUUUUCAUGAAUAAUGAAAUCAUUAUAAUCAUUAAAUGUUCUAGAACAAGUUUUGCUCUGUACCCCAAUGGUUAAGGCACUGGUAUGCGAAACCGGGCUCCGGUUCGAUUCACAGUUGGCAGAGUCGAUAUGAUUUUUUAAAAUUUUUCCUAUUUAAAUGAUUUUUAAAAAGAUUGCAUCAUAUAUCCUGUUUCAGUCAUUAGGCCAUCUCCAACCGAUGGCUGGCCAGAGGGCUCGUUUUAGCCCUCUGGCCCUCCAAGAUUCUCCAAGAUAUUAAUAUUUUAAUGAACAGUACAGGGUCAUAUUUGCCUCCGUUUUUUUCAUGAAUAAUGAAAUCAUUAUAAUCAUUAAAUGUUCUAGAACAAGUUUUGCUCUGUACCCCAAUGGUUAAGGCACUGGUAUGCGAAACCGGGCUCCGGUUCGAUUCACAGUUGGCAGAGUCGAUAUGAUUUUUUAAAAUUUUUCCUAUUUAAAUGAUUUUUAAAAAGAUUGCAUCAUAUAUCCUGUUUCAGUCAUUAGGCCAUCUCCAACCGAUGGCUGGUCAGAGGGCUCGUUUUAGCCCUCUGGCCCUCCAAGAUUCUCCAAGAUAUUAAUAUUUUAAUGAACAGUACAGGGUCAUAUUUGCCUCCGUCUCCAACCGAGGGCCAGAGGGCCAGAGGGCUCGUUUUAGCCCUGUCACAAAAAAUCGUCUCCAAUCGAGGGCCAAAGGGCCAUAGGGCCAAACAUAAUUUAUUAUUUAAAAACUACAAUUUAAAUUCAAAUCUAACGGCUAGGUGACGUCAACAUGAUGUCAGCUAGUUGACGUCAGCUAGCCGUUGGUAGCUGACAUCAUGCUGACGUCAGCUAGCCGUUGGAUUUGAAUUUUUUUUGCUAUAAAUAGGGUGGAUAUUGGGCUAUAAUUCACACAAAUACGUUCUCGUGCCACAAAUACGUACCUACAACAGGAUCUUGUUGCACAUCUUUGGGCCAAAAGAAGCAUGGAGUAGGCUUUUAAGUUUUAUGUUGUUAAAUGUUUUUAAAAAUGUUGUUUAAGUUUCAUGUUGUUAAAUGUUUUUUUAUGUUGUAUAAUUUGUAUGUUGGUUAAUGUUAUUUAAUGUUAUUUCAUAUUGUUUAAUGUUGUUUCAUGUUACUUAAUUUAAUUUAAUGUUUUAUAAAUGGCCUAGGAAAAAAAUAGAAUUGAAAAAAAUUAUGAAACAAAUUUUGUGAAAUAGAAGUUAUAGGAAAUAAAAUAUGAAUCAAAUUUUGUAAAAUAGAAGUUAUAGGAAAAAAAUAGAAUUUAAAAAAAAAUUGAAACAAAUUUUGUAAAAUAGAAUUGAAAAAAAAUAUGAAACAAAAUUUGAUUAAUAUGAAAAGGAAAAAAAAAGGGAAAAAAAAAAGUUUAAAAAAAAAAAAAAAGGCCUAAUAAUACAACGGCUACUAGCCGUUGUAUUAAAAAACAUUCAAACUAUUAGUGUCGGUUAUAACCGACACUAAUAGUAGAACUAUUAAAAAAUAAAUAAAACAUGUUUAAUGCUGUCGGUUUUAACCGACAGCAAUAGAAAACAUUAAAAAAAAAAUAAGCCAGCCCGGGGCUGGCUGGCUGGCCGAAAGCAGCCAGCCCUCCAGCCCUCCAGCCCUCUCCGAUCCCGUGGGGCCCUCCCAGAUUCCAGAGCCCUCUGGCCUAGCCCUCGGUUGGAGACGGUUUUAGGGCUAUUUUCGGCCCUCUGGCCCUCUGGACCCUUCGGUUGGAGAUGGCCUUAUGUCAUGUAAGUCUCUCCAGACCAUACAACUGCUCGGCGAGCACAUGCAAAUGGUUCAAAGUUAACACAUUAGAAAAACUAUGAAAUAGAUAAACUGAAUAAGUGAAAUACAUAUAAGUUUAAAGACAAAUAUUGUAAUGUUGGUUUUUUUUUUCAUUUGAAUAAAAAAGCUUGCUUUCAUGUCUUAAUUUCAAAGGUUGAAUCUUUUCUUCCUGAAACAUAAAUGUCAGUUUAGCCAAAAUGGUCUCUGAGAUUGACAUAACUCCUUAAUUUGUCCUUGAGGUUUGAAAUCGAUAGAACUGGUCCUUGAUGUUUGAAAUCGAUAGAACUGGUCCCUGAGUUUGUCCAUUAUCCAUCAUUUUCAUCCUUCUAUGCAAAAUAUCUGUUAAAUAAGAAUUGUUAGGGCCCAAAGAUGUCACAUGUAAACCCAAUCAAGUAGGCCCGAUUGUCGUAAAACCCCGAGUCAAGUCUAAACACAUGUCAAGGUAUGAAAUCGAGAAGGGAAAACAUUCACAAUCAUGCCAUGCCAUUAAUAUAUGAUAAACGAACCAGACAUUUAUAUAAUCACGCAACGCCAUGCAAAUCCCUACACAUUCAUCAUGCCAUGUUAUAUUUCGCUAAUUACCAUUCACGCUAAAAUAUGCCCAAUCCAUAUGUCUGGGGCUUGCCAAGUGAAUCAUGGUGUGGAUGUUUACGGAAGUUUGUCGGGCAUACACAAAGUCAAGAUUAUGGAAGACUUUGGGCUGCUUAGGAGCCCAAAGAUCCAAACCCACAAUCCCACAAUCCUUGAAGUCUACGUAAGUGAGUUUGAGAGAGAACAAACCUAAUUCCCUUUUUUCCCUAGCUAGACAACUAAGCCAGUUAGAAAAGAGUCAGACUCAAGGCCUUAAAAAUCAUGUGAAAGCCCAAUAGAGCCUGCAUUUAAUGAAAAGAGAGGCAGAUUUUCCCUUCCUAGUUCACGUAGAAGAACAAUGAAAGAAAGUCAUGAAACGUGUUACUAGAAUUAAUGCACGUGGAAGUUGACCUAGGAAAUAAGCGCUCUGGAAAGAGAGCCCGAUGUAGUCUUCACAAAAGCAUUGGUGUUCAUCUGUCUUAAACCAAAUGGGAAGGUCAGAGUUAUGCUGGGAGAAAUGGGAGGGAAGACUUAGUUAUAACUAGAGCUUUUCUAGGAAGCCUCAAAAGGGAACCAUUCACCUACAAAAGAGAGGUCAGAGGUUUUGAAUAGAGGAAGACAUAAUAUUAGAGAGAGGGAGAUUCAAGGUUAUACUGCACCAAGCAAGGGAAAUAGCUCUCUAAGUGCAAAUAGUCUUGAACAUCUAAGAGGAUCACCUUCAUGCAACCUUAGUAGUUUCUUUAAGCUUCCUUCAAUGGGAGCCUUCUUAGAACCCUAGGAAACCCAAAUCACCCAACUAAACACAUCAUGCAAUCAUGCAAAGUUCUUUCGCAUGCUAAAUUGGUAAACUUCUAGAUUCACCUCACUCAUGCAAGUUAUUAUUUGCCUAAUCAUGUUAUCUUUGAGUCAUUAAUCCAACCGGGAUAUUUCCUAAGACAUGCUAAUUCUUUCGAAAUAUUUUGGGAAUUGGUACCAAAACGAACCAGGGGAAUAAAAAGGGUACUUUCAAGCCCAAGUCUAGCUCGGCUUAAAAAUCCCUUAACAAUGACAAAAGAUAAAAAUACCCUCAAUUUAAUAAACAAUGUGCCAAAGUAAUUUGACAAAAAUCGAGAGUAUUUUUGUCAUUUAUAGCUUAUUAAUGAAGGUCAUUUCCGAAAUGACCAAAAUGAUUGACGGUGGACAAACUCAGAGACCAAUUCUAUCGAUUUUAAAUAUCAUGGACCAAAGUGAGGAGUUAGACCAAUCUCAAUGAUUAUUUUUGGCUAAAAAGCCAUGUACUGCAGCCCAGUAAAUGCAUGUUCAAGUUGGGAAGCAUCGAACGAAAUCAAUCGUGUUUAAUUGCAAGAAAUUGGUGGUUCAAAAUUCAAUCUUUUAAGAGGUUUUAAGAUAUUUUUACAUGUCUUCAUGAAUUUACAAUUUUUUUCUUUUAUCUGAUAAAUUGUUAUGUCAUGGUUUGUGCAGUGUAGUUUAUGACUUGGGUUAUGAAACACCAAUAAUGUUACAAAAAUUACACCUUAAGAGACCAAUAAUCCAACUUAGAUAUAAAAUUUAAAACCAAUAAUAUAAUUAGUCUCCCAACUUAAUUAUAUAUACAAAAUGUAUCAUUGAAAUCCAAAACGAAAAAGAAAUGAAACAAAGUUUAAUCAGGGAACAUGACAAUGUGUUGUGUCCCCUCAUUGUGUAUUUUUAAUCAGAUCCCUAAGCUGUUGAAGAAGUUGAUCGGUUGAGCAAUGUUCUUCUUUUGCUUAAAACAGUACAAAUACACUCCAAAUCGAAAAAUAGUGUACUUGUGGUGCCAAAAAAGCAUAUGAUCUUUUGAGAACUCGUUCUUAAUAUCUUAGCAGCGUAUUAUUGGUGUUUAUUUGUUUAAGUUCAAUAGCGUGUCAAAUGCAUGUUCAUUUUGUCCCAUGAAUGCAGGCAAGGGACAUCAGGAACAUUACUUGCAUUACAAGUUCCGCUACUUAGGUUGGUGCAAAAGGCACGGAUCUCCUUCCCAGCAAUUGCCGAUGUGAUUUUAAUCUGGUGCAAAUUAAUGUUAGCACAACCUAGAUUCUCCGAGCAAUCAAACUUGAUCGCUUCUUCGGUUGCAGAAGUUCCAUGAAAACCAUUGUAUGUCACAUCGCUCAUUCACUGUCGAAGUCAGCAAAUUUUUUCAAAAAUGAUGACUUCGUUAAUACAACUAAUUUGUUUGAGUUAAAAAUCAUUUUAUUGAAAUUAGCAUAAGAGCAAUCUACUAACCUUAUUCCAUGACCUAGUCCACAACUAAUUUUGGUGAUAUUGAUAGAGGUUAAUUUGGUCCACAACUUUUAUUUAAAUGUGUAACUUAAAUGUGCACUUUUGAUGUGCACCUGGACUUAACAUUUUAUGUAAGUAGAAUAUGUUGACUAGUUCAUGGCCGGCCAAGCCCACGUGAGUCAAGUUGUGAUGGGUCGACCCGUUUGAUACCUUUAAAGCAACCUAAUCAUCUAGAAUCCAAAUAGUCAUGUAUUCUCCACAAACGAACGGGUUUUAUUUAGGUACACAAUCUUAUCCUAUGAAGGUUUUCAAUGUACCCGAUCUGAUCAGAUUAAAAACUUUACCCUUUUUGCCUUUUCACUUUAUAUAUGUAGAUAUCCCCCCUCCCUAUAUAUGGAAAACAUACGCUAAUUGCAAACCAUAGUCUCUCAUAAUUAAUAAGAGUUGCAACAGUGUAACUGUGCUAUGUAAGUUAAUAUCCGUGAUUAGGGGCGCAUUGCACAAAUUUUAUCCUUCACAAGUGCGUAGGCCAGCGUUUGCUACCAUACAUUUCAACCACUGAAACUCAUGUGUGUACAAAACUAGGGAAAUGGAUUCUCUCUGGAUCAUUUCCACCAAAUUCACCAAGUUAACAAAUUCGAACCCUUGAAAUUUGAUCCAAUGACUAAAGUUAUUAUAACUUUUAAAGGAAGCUCACGUUUUUAGUUGUUGGAUCAAAUUUUAAAGGUCUGGAUUCGUUGACCUGGUAAAUUUGAUGGAAAGAAUCCGAAAAUGAUUCCUUUUCCAAAACUAGGAGCCCAAGGAUUUGACUAGUCACCCUUUGGAGUUGGCCCAUUCAAAAGUGCAAAUCCCUGAUAGCAAUCCUCCACGCCAACUGGUAAACUUUUAGCUUCCACACCACACUUUACUUAAGCAAGUUAUUAUUUGCUUAAUCAUGCUAUCUUUAAGUCAUUGAUCAAACCGGAAUAUUUCCUAAGACGCUAUAAUUCUUUCGAGAUAUUUCGAGAUUUGGUACGAAAGCGAACCAGGGGAAUGAAAAGGGUACUUGCAAGCCCAAGUCUAGCUUGGCUUAAAAAUCCCCUAACAAUGACAAAAAUGACAAAAAUGACCUCAAUUUAAUAAACAAUGUGCCGAAGUAAUUUGACAAAAAAUCGAGGGUAUUUUUGUCAUUUACAGCUUAUUUAAUGGAGGUUAUUUCUGGAAUGACCAAAAUAAUUGACGGUGGACAAACUCAGAGACCAAUUUUAUCGAUUUUAAAUCUCAUAGACCAAGGUGAUGAGUUAUGCCAAUCUCAAGGACUAUUUUUUGCUAAAAAGCCAUGUAUUGCAGCCAGUAAAUGCAUCUUCAAGCUGGGAAACAUCGAACGAAAUCAAUCGUGUUUAAUUGCAAGAAAUUGGUGGUUCAAAAUUCAAUCUUUUAAGAGGUUUAAGAGAUUUUUAUAUGUCUUCAUGAAUUUACAAUUUUUUUUCUUUUAUCUGAUAAAUUUUUCUGUCAUGAUUUGUGCAGUGUAGUUUAUGACUUGGGUUAUGAAACACCAAUAAUGUUACAAAAAUUACACCUUAAGAUACCAAUAAUCCAACAUAGAUAUAAAAUUUAAAACCAAUAAUAUAAUUAGUCUCCCAACUUAAUUAUAUAUACAAAAUGUAACAUUGAAAUCGAAAAAGAAAUGAAACAAAGUUUAAUCAGGGAAACAUGACAAUGUGUUGUGUCCCCUCAUUGUGUAUUUUUAAUCAGAUCCCUAAGCUGUUGAAGAAGUUGAUCAGUUGAGCAAUGUUCUUCUUUUGCUUAAAACAGUACAAAUACACUUCAAAUCGAAAAAAUAGUGUACUUGUGAUGCCAAAAAAAUCUGAUCUUUUGAGAACUCGUUCUUAAUAUCUUAGCAGCGUAUUAUUGGUGUUUAUUUGUUUAAGUUCAAUAGCGUGUCAAACGUAUGUUCGUUUUGUCCCAUGAAUGCAGGCAAGGGACAUCAUGAACAUUACUUGCAUUACAAGUUCCGCUACUUAGGUUGUUGCAAGAGGCACGGAUCUCCUUCCCAACAAUUGCCGAUGUGAUUUUAAUCUGGUGCAGAUUAAUGUUGGCACAACCUGGAUUCUCCGAGCAAUCAAACUUGAUCGCUUCUUCGGUUGCAGAAGUUCCAUGAAAACCAUUGUAUGUCACAUCGCUCACACUCACUGUCGAAGUCAGCAAAUUUUUUCAAAAAUGAUGACUUCGUUAAUACAACUAAUUUUGGUGAUAUUGAUAAAGGUUAAUUUGGUCCACAACUUUUAUUUAAAUGUGUAACUUAAAUGUGCACUUUUGAUGUGCACCUGGACUUACCAUUUUAUGUAAGUAGAAUAUGUUGACUAGUUCAUGGCCGACCAAGCCCACGUGAGUCGGGUUGUGAUGGGUCGACCCGUUUGACACCUUUAAAGCAACCUAAUCAUCUAGAAUCCAAAUAGUCAUGUAUCCUCCACAAAUGAACGGGUUAUAUUUAGGUACACAAUCUUAUCUUAUGAAGGUUUUCAAUGUACCCGAUCUGAUCAGAUUAAAAACUUUACCUUUUUGCCUUUUCACUUUAUAUAUGUAGAUAUCCCCCCCCUCCCGAUAUAGGGAAAACAUACGCUAAUUGCAAACCAUAGUCUCUCAUAAUUAAAAAGAGUUGCAACAAUGUAACUGUGCUAUGUAAGUUAAUAUCCGUGAUUAGGGCGCAUUGCAUUUAUUUUAUCCUUCACAAGUGCGUAGGCCAGCGUUUGCUACCAGACAUUUCAACCACUGAAACUCCUGUGUGUACAAAACUAGGGAAAUGGAUUCUCUCUGGAUCAUUUCCACCAAAUUCACCAAGUUAACAAAUUCGAACCCUUGAAAUUUGAUCCAAUGACUAAAGUUAUUAUAACUUUUAAAGAAAACUCACGUUUUUAGUUGUUGGAUCAAAUUUUAAAGAUCUGAAUUCGUUGACCUGGUAAAUUUGAUGGAAAUAAUUUGAAAAUGAUUCCUUUUCCAAAACUAGGAGCCCAAGGAUUUGACUAGUCACCCUUUGGAGUUGGCCCAUUCAAAAGUGCAAAUCCCUAAUAGCAAUCCUCCACGCCAACACCAAGUCAGCCAAAGCCAGGCAGGCCAAACAAAAACAAACAAACAAAAGAGGCCAAUCCUACCACAUGUUCCGCGAUGCUUCCAAAGACAGAAACCCCAGUACCCCACACUUGUCCCUCAAACCUUUCUCCCACCCACCUUCCCAAUCCUCCUUUUUCUACAAAACAACUUGGAAAUCUGAUUUGAUUAAGAUCUCAACUUAAUUUAGAUUAAUAGGUGGUCAUAAGACCACCAAUUCUCAAUUAUGUUACUUGUUUUACUCAACUACGGAUCCAUCAAUUUAUUUGAAACUUUCUCUCUUGUCGUAUCACAUUCUAUUUUGCGAUAUUUGAGACGUCAUACUUAUGAUUGUAGGAUCAAAACAUCAUGUGCUUUUUAUGAAAAAAAUUUCCCUACAUCAGCACGCUAUUGUGUGAGAAAGUUAUAACGUUUAAUAACAACACAAUGACAUCUCAAGAAGUUCUAAAGAUGCAAAUGUGACAAUAUUCUAAACCCAUUGCAAUUAUUGUUCGAGAAAAUUAAAACAUGUGUCAAUGUGCGAAUGACUUGUCACAAUUCUACAAUCACAUCCACAUACUUCUCGGAAAAAAAAAAUUCUGAAGAUUCAAUUGUGACAAUAUUCCAAGUCAAUCAUAAAUCGUGCAAUAACACAACAAAUUGCAAAUAGAUCCAAUCCUCAUUUCCUCCAAAAUACAAUUACAAAGGGAUUAUGAGAAUCCAAACAAAGUCUUUAGUAGAAGAUUACAUACUUGUCCCAUGAAACCUCCUCCCCCAAUGUCAUAAAACCAUCUCCUAAUAGAGAUGGCCACUUCUAUGAAGGAAACCAAAACAAACUUCUAUCCACAUAUAGAGAGAGAGAGAGAGAUAGACUUUACGCCUCCCACUCUCUCUCCUCUUCCCUUUUAUUCCUCUUAAUUUACAUAUACAUCUUUUGAGUUUACACAAAAAGACUCACCAUAAAUUAAACAUAUUAAGAUCAACUCACUUGACUUGUAUAUACAAAAAUUACACUCUCCAUCUCAAAGACCCCCCAAAAAACAUUAAUCUUCUUCCUCCUCCUCUUGAUAUUUUUCCCAAAGCACAAAGCCCUCUACUUUUCUCACAAAACUCUGCUUCUUCCAAAACAGAGAGGGCUCUGUUCCACACCCUAACUCUGUGUCUAAGCUACAGCAGAGAUGCUGCAGUUCCUGCGGUCCCUGCUAAGACAAUCAAACCCUUCGAUCCGCACUGCAACUGGCCUGUCCCCAGACUUCAUCCGGACACAGCCACCGUUGCGCGAUGACAACAUAGGCUGUGCCGGCAAAAAUGGAGCCAUAUUGCCGCUAUUACCGAAAUGCUCAUCUUGGAUUACAGGGUUGGAUGCCCUGCUCGGCGGCGACCCGCAGAAAAAAGGAGGCGAUGAAGCCGAUUGCUUAUUACCGAAUCUAUCUUCACAAUUCCCCUGUUUUCAUAAAUUAACCACAAAACAGGAGAAAAUAAUUAGUCUUUGUUCUUGGAAUUUUUUCAUAAGUGGAAGAGCGAGCUAAAACAUGACAACAAAAUUAAAAAUAAACGAAUUCAUGCCAAUAAAAACAAAUUUGAAACCCCCAAAUUAGAAAAUAUAAAACGAAAACAUGAAAUGAUUUAGGCCUGCCCCUUCCUCUACAAAACCGUCAAACCACGGUUUAUUUAUGUCCCUUGAUUCAAGUGGAUGCAUCGACGAAAAGGGGUGUGCAGAAAUCAUUUUCUCUGAAUAUUAGCUAAAAAAUCAUCCCACGAAUAUUAGCACAACAAGUUUAAAGAAUUUAACGAAAAGUUAUCAGUCCUACUUUAACGAAAAAUCACAUUUUUACAUUAAAAAGUAAGAUCUGAUACUAUUCCCUUUACCAUUUAUUCAGUCAUUUUCAUUUAUUCAGUCAUUUUCGUUAAUACCCAAAAUUUUCAAAUCCGUUUUACUAUAAAUUUAAGGGGAGGAGAGGAACCUUGGCGAGAAUAAUAUCCAGAAUCUCAGACCCAGCUUCAGAAUCUCGAAUCUCCGAUUGGUUGUGACUGUUGCAGCAGCAGCAACAAAAAUCAAACACCCAAAAAAUAACAACCUUUGACUCUUACCUACGAAUUAAAACCUUAAAAGAACAUAGAAGUGUGAGAAGAUAAAAAAGGUACGUACUUGAAGUAUCUGAAGGGUCUGAUGUUGUCGUUGAAGGAAGGAUUCAGAAGGCUGAAACGACGUGGUUUUGGGCACACAACUGAAUCCAUCCCCUCGCAGCCUGCCG
rnacentral:lncRNA from 1 species